UUUUUUAUUUUUUUAUUUGGGCCUUUCUCUUUUUUUUCUUUUUUAUGGCCUCUUUUCUCUCUCUUUUUUAUUUGGGCUUCUUUGGCCUCUUUUAUUUAUUUAUUUAUUUUCGUCCGGAGUCUCAUCCCGACUUGUGGGGGAAUCAUAGUCUCCAUCAUCCUUUCCUCACUAGGACAAUGCUCUAAUAAUGAUGAUCAUCACACUUUUAUUGUUCUUACAACUCAAGAAUUACAACUCGAUACUUAGAACAAAAUAUGACUCUAUAUGAAUGCCUCCGGCGGUGUACCGGGAUGUGCAAUAAUGCAUGAGUGACAUGUAUGAAAGAAUUAUGAAUGGUGGCUUUGCCACAAAUAUGAUGUCAACUACAUGAUCAUGAUAAGCAAUAUGACAAUGGUGAAUGUGUCAUGAUAAACGGAAUGGUGGAAAGUUGCAUGGCAAUAUAUCUGUAGCGACCAGACCACAAACGGUCCAAUCUCUGUGCUCCGGUGUCAUCCCUGGAUCAGUAAUGCUGACACCACACAGUACUUGAAGGAUUUAUAACAGAGUAGCAAUCACACACUUAUUACAUCGAGUGUCUCAAAAGAGAACUUAUUACAAUAAAUAUGGCUUAAGGCCAUCUAAUAACGAUAACAGGGGAAGGCUUGGAAGAUAAGUGAGUCCAUCAACUCCAACGGCAUCACUGAGUAUAGAACCACGACCUAAAACUCCUUAAUUGUCGUAUGAAAAGUAUGCAACAUUAACGUUGCAGCCCGAAAAUGGGUCGGCACAUGGAAUAUGCUGGCAAUGUAACACAUAGAGAGUAAUGGAAAUAAACAACUAUUCUACAUGCAUAUUUGGCUGGUGGAAAGCUCUAUGGUUACAGUUUUUGCGAAAAGCUAAUUUUUCCCUACUGCAAAGGAAUAAACUUAUUUAACUAUCAUGGUGGUUGUUAAACAUUGAGAAUGGUUGACAGCAUCCUCAAUCCCAAUUAAGCAUCAUCAUUUAAACAAAACCCAACAAAAUUAAUUUAGAGUAACAUGUUGAGAUUCACAUGAUAAUCCAAGUACUAGAUACUCAAGAUGUCCAUAACCGGGGACACGGCUAACCAUGAUUAGUUUAUUACACUCUGCAGAGGUUUGCGCACUUUUCCCCACAAGACUCGAUCGCCUCCGUUUGGUUUCUCGCACUACAGGGUGUUUGAGAAGACGGAUGACCGAGACAUAGUCUUUUAGAAGCGCUAGCACCUUACGAUCGGGUAGACCGUACCACCUACAUCCCCUACAUCUGCUAGUCUACCACUAUAAGAGUUCGCACGACUUAGUCAACUAUGCUAGAGCCCAUAAUAGCUUGUGGCUGCACACGGAAGUUUCUAGUAUGAAUAGUCUCAUGAUCCCUUUGAGCCUGGGUGGCGGUCCAAAAGAAAACAGGCAAGUCCUGGAAUACCCAGGUGCCUCAAUCCACCCAGAUCUGUGUUUAAGUUGCCACCUUAGAUAAACCAUUAAUUAACAAAACUCACAUCUGUCAUGGAUAUCACUCACCCAACCCACGUCUACUAGCAUAGCAUGGCAUAAUAAGCAAACACGGAAGUAACUCCCAAAGGUUUGGUAAUAAACAGGUAAUAGGUACUACCGCAUCUACUUCCCAUCCCACAAUUUAAUUAGAUCCUAGUCAUGCAAUGUGUGACGAUUGAUCUAAUGCAAUAAAACCGGGUAGUAGAAAAAGUAUGAUCAAAGUGUUACUUGCCUUGCUGAUGAUCCGCGAAACCUAGAGAUUCGAAGUAACAAGCAGCGCACUCCGGGUAUUCUAUCGCAGACAAACAAACAAGCAUACAAUAAGUACUCAUCUAAUGCAUAGGUAAAACUCAAAUAAGAGAUCUAACCAGAAGGUUCAACUUAAGAACUCCGGUUGGCAAAAGAAUCAAAUCGAACGAAGCAACGAAAGUCAAACAGCGAAAGAAAACAACUUCGUUCUAGUAAUUUGGAUCUAAGGCAAAUUUUACAGUAGCAAAAUCUUGUUUAAGUUGGUUAAAUGGAUAGAGGGUUUCGAGACGAAACUCUAGGCGCUUGAAUCGCCUGAUUCCGAUAAACGAGCGAAAAGUUAUACUAAAACGAAAAUCGGAUCAGGAAUCGUGAUCAGAAAAAUCACGGAUUUAAUCCGAGAAAAAGAAAAACGACGAACGCUCGCUAGAACGAACGAACGGACGAACGCUCGCUAUUUAAAUAAACCGGAAAAACUGAUCUAUUAAAAAAACCGAAUCUAAAAAAACUGACGGAAAAACCGACAAAAACCGAACUUUUAAAAAAACCGAUGGCACGGAAGUCGAGGCGNNNNNNNNNNNNNNNNNNNNNNNNNNNNNNNNNNNNNNNNNNNNNNNNNNNNNNNNNNNNNNNNNNNNNNNNNNNNNNNNNNNNNNNNNNNNNNNNNNNNNNNNNNNNNNNNNNNNNNNNNNNNNNNNNNNNNNNNNNNNNNNNNNNNNNNNNNNNNNNNNNNNNNNNNNNNNNNNNNNNNNNNNNNNNNNNNNNNNNNNNNNNNNNNNNNNNNNNNNNNNNNNNNNNNNNNNNNNNNNNNNNNNNNNNNNNNNNNNNNNNNCGUCGGCGGGGCGGCGCGGCGGGGCGGCGGCGGCGGCAGGCACGGGGCGGCUUAGGGUUUGCUGGGGCUGGGGCUGGGCCUCCCCCCGGCUUAUAAAGGCCCCAUCGGGCCGGAGUCCUAGUCGGACACGGCCCGUAGGUCGGUUCGUUUUUUUAAAAUUAUUUUGCUCGGAAGAAAAAUAAAAAGAAAUACUAAACGGACUCCAAAAAUUCCGAAAUAAAUUUUCCCGGGCUUCUAAAAUCAAGCCGCACAAGGUGAACAUUUAUUUGGGACCUAAAUGCAAUUUUGAAAACGCAUAUUUUUCCUAAAUUCAAAUAAAACACCGAAAAACUCCGAAAUAAAAUCUUAUUUGAUUUUAUUAUUAAAUCCUCAAUAUUUCUUUAUUUUGGGAAAGUCGUUUUAUUCCCUCUCUCAUAUUUUUGUAGUAGAAAUAAUUGAUGGUAAAAUAAAUAAAAUCAAAUGAUCCUAUUCUCAAAAUUUGAGAAAACUCAAAUAUGGAAAUAACGAAAUCCCCAACUCUCUCUGUGGGUCAUUGAGUUGCGUAGAAUUUCUAGGAUCAACCAAAAUGCAAAAUAAAAUAUGGUAUGCAUUGAUGAUCUAAUGUAUAACAUUCCAAAUUGAAAAUUUGGGAUGUUACAAUAUCUCGGAAUGGCUAUGGAAAUGCCAUAAUAGGUAGGUAUGGCGGCUGUUUUGAGGAAGGUAAAUGGUUGGUUUAUGGUACCGGCGAAAGUUGCGCGGUACUAGAGAGGCUAGCAAUGGCGGAAGGGUGAGAGUGCGUAUAAUCCAUGGACUCAACAUUAGUCAUAAAGAAAUCACAUACUUAUUGCAAAAAUCUAUUAGUUAUCGAAACGAAGUACUACGCGCAUGCUCCUAGGGGGAUAGAUUGGAAGGAAAAGAUCAUCGCUCGUCCCCGACCGCCACUCAUAAGGAAGACAAUCAAUAAAUAAAUCAUGCGCCGACUUCAUCACAUAACGGUUCACCAUACGUGCAUGCUACGGGAAUCACAAACUUCAACACAAGUAUUUCUCAAAUUCAUAACCACUCAACUAGCAUGACUCUAAUAUCACCAUCUUCAUAUCUCAAAACAAUCAUCAAGUAUCAAACUUCUCAUAGUAUUCAAUGCACUCUAUAUGAAAGUUUUUAUUAUAUCCCUCUUGGAUGCCCAUCAUAUUAGGACUAAAUUCAUAACCAAAGAAAAUUACCAUGUUGUUUAGGACUCUCAAAAUAAUAUAAGUGAAGCACGAGAGUUCAUCUAUUUCUAUAAAAUAAAACCACCACCGUGCUCUAAAAAGAUAUAAGUGAAGCACUAGAGCAAAUAACAAACUACUCCGAAAGAUAUAAGUGAAGAUCAAUGAGUAGUCAAAUAAUCAUGCAACUAUAUGAAGACUCUCUAACAUUUAAGGAUUUCAGAUCUUGAUACUUUGUUCAAACAACAAGCAAAACUAAAGAAAAUAAAAUGACGCUCCAAGCAAAACACAUAUCAUGUGGUAAAUAAAAAUAUAGCUCCAAGUAAAGUUACCGAUGAACGAAGACGAAAGAGGGGAUGCCUUCCGGGGAAUCCCCAAGCUUAGUCUCUUGGCUAUCCUUGAAUAGUACCUUGGGGUUCCUUGGGCAUCCCCAAGCUUAGGCUCUUGCCACUCCUUAUUCCAUAGUCCAUUGAAUCUUUACCCAAAACUUGAAAACUUCACAACACAAAACUUAAAGUAGAAAACUCGUAAGCUCCGUUAGUAUAAGAAAAUAAAUCACCACAUCAAGGUAUUGUAAUGAAAUCAUUCUUUAUUUAUAUUGGUGUUAAACCUACUGUAUUCCAACUUCUCUAUGGUUUAUAAACUCUUUUACUAUCCAUAGAUUCAUCAAAAUAAGUAAACAACACAUGAAAAACAGAAUUUGUCAAAAACAGAAAAGUCUGUAGUAAUCUGGAUCAAACGUAUAUCAUCUUCAAAAAGAAUUAACUAAAUAUCACUCUCCAAAUAAAAAUGGCAGCAAUUCUCGUGAGCGCUAAAGUUUCUGUUUUUUUACAGCAUGAUCAACAAGACUUCUCCCAAGUCUUCCCGAAGGUUCUACUUGGCACAAACACUAAUUAAAAGCAUAAAACCACAUCUAAACAGAGUCUAUAUGAAUUAUUUAUUACUAAACAGGAACAAAAAGCAAGGAAUAAGAAUAAAAUUACGUUGCCUCCCAACAAGCGUUAUCGUUUAACGCCCCUAGCUAGGCAUGAUGAUUUCAACGAUGCUCACAUAAAAGAUAAGAAUUGAAACAUAAAGAGAGCAUCAUGAAGAAUAUGACUAGCACAUUUAAUCCUAACAUACUUCCUAUGCAUAGGGAAUUUGUGAGCAAACAACUUAUGGGAACAAUAAUCAACUAGCAUAGGAAGGCAAAACAAACAUAACUUUAAAACUUUAAGCACAUAGAGAGGAAACUUGAUAUUAUUGCAAUUCCUACAAGCAUACAUUACUCCCUCAUAUUUUCAGUAGCAUCAUGAAUGAAUUCAAAAAUAUAACCAGCACCUAGAGCAUUCUUUUCAUGAUCUACAAGCAUACUCUCCACAUAAGCAAAAUUAUUCUCAUUCGGAAUAGUGGGAGUACCAUAAGAAACUCGAAUACUAUAAAUUGUUUCCAUAUUAAAAGAGUAAUGUUCAAAAAAGGGGGAAUCAUAAUCAUGACAAGUUUUAUAAAUAUAAUCAUCACUACUUUUUAUAGCAUAUGUAUCAUCACAAUAAUCAUCAUAAGUAGGAGGCAUGCUAUCAUCAUUAUCAAUUUGCAUAUCAAAACUUGGGAGACUAAAAAUAUAAUCUUCAUCAAACAUAGCUUCCCCAAGCUUGUGGCUUUGCAUAUCAUUAGCAUCAUGGAUAUUCAAGGAAUUCAUACUAACAACAUUGCAAUCAUGCUCAUCAUUCAAAUAUUUAGUGCCAAACAUUUUAUAGAUUUCUUCUUCUAGCACUUGAGCACAAUUAUCCUUUCCAUCAUACUCGUGAAAGAUAUUAAAAAGGUGAAGCGUAUGAGACAAACUCAAUUCCAUUUUUUAUAGUUUUCUUUUAUAAACUAAAAUAGUGAUAGAACAAGAAACUAAAAGACUCGAUUGCAAGAUCUAAAGAUAUACCUUCAAGCGCUAACCUCCCCGGCAACGGCGCCAAGAAAGAGCUUGAUGUCUACUACACAACCUUCUUCUUGUAGACGUUGUUGGGCCUCCAAGUGUAGAGGUUUGUAGGACAGUAGCAAAUUUCCCUCAAGUGGAUGACCUAAGGCUUAUCAAUCCGUAGGAGGCGUAGGAUGAAGAUGGUCUCUCUUAAGCAACUCUGCAACCAAAUAACAAAGAGUCUCUUGUGUCCCCAACACACCCAAUACAAUGGUAAAUUGUAUAGGUGCACUAGUUCGGCGAAGAGAUGGUGAUACAAGUAGUAUAUGGAUGGUAGAUAAAGGUUUUUGUAAUCUGAAAAUAUAAAAACAGCAAGGUAGCAAGUGAUAAAAGUGAGCAUAAACGGUAUUGCAAUGCGUUGAAACAAGGCCUAGGGUUCAUACUUUCACUAGUGCAAGUCCUCUCAACAAUAAUAACAUAAUUGGAUCACAUAACAAUCCCUCAACAUGCAACAAAGAGUCACUUCAAAGUCAUUAAUAGCGGAGAACGAACGAAGAGAUUAUGGUAGGGUAUGAAACCACCUCAAAGUUAUUCUUUCCAAUCAAUCCAUUGGGCUAUUCCUAUAAGUGUCACAAACAGCCCUAGAGUUCAUACUAGAAUAACACCUUAAGACACAAAUCAACCAAAACCCUAAUGUCACCUAGAUACUCCAAUGUCACCUCAAGUAUCCGUGGGUAUGAUUAUACGAUAUGCAUCACACAAUCUCAGAUUCAUCUAUUCAACCAACACAUAGAACCUCAAAGAGUGCCCCAAAGUUUCUACCGGAGAAUCAUGAUGAAAACGUGUGCCAACCCCUAUGCAUAGGUUCAUGGGCAGAACCUGCAAGUUGAUCACCAAAUCAUACAUCAAGUGAAUCACGUGAUAUCCCAUUGUCACCACAGAUACGCACGGCAAGACAUACAUCAAGUGUUCUCAAAUCUUUAAAGACUCAUCCGAUAAGAUAACUUCAAAGGGAAAACUCAAUCCAUUACAGGAGAGUAGAGGGGGGGGGGAAGAAACAUCAUAGGAUCCAAAUAUAAUAACAAAGCUCGCGAUACAUCAAGAUCGUAUCACCUCAAGGACACGAGAGAGAGAGAGAGAGAUCAAACACAUAGCUACUGGUACAUACCCUCAGCCCCGAGGGAGAACUACUCCCUCCUCGUCAUGGAGAGCAUCGGGAUGAUGAAGAUGGCCACCGGAGAGGGUUUCCCCCCUCCAGCAGGGUGCCGGAACGGGUCUAGAUUGGCUUUCGGUGGCUACGGAGGCUUCUGGCGGCAGAACUCCCGAUCUAUUGUGCUCCCCGAUGUUUUUAUGGUACAUGGAGAUAUAUAGGUGGAAGAAGUACGUCAGGGGAGGCACGAGGGGGCCACAAGGGUGGAGGGCGCGCCCAGGGGGUGGGCGUGCCCACCUACCUCGUGGCCUCCUCGAAGCUUCCCUUACGUAGACUCCAAGUCUUCUAGGCUUCUUCUAAUCCAAAAAUAAGUUCCGUGAAGUUUCAGGUCAUUUGGACUCCGUUUGAUUUUCCUUUUCUUCGAAACCCUAAAAUAGGCAAAAAAACAGAAACUGGCACUGGGCUCUGGGUUAAUAGGUUAGUCCCAAAAAUGAUAUAAAAGUGUAUAAUAAAGCCCAUAAACAUCCAAAGUUGAUAAUAUAAUAGCAUGGAACAAUAAAAAAUUAUAGAUACGUUGGAGACGUAUCAUGAACCGUUAUGUACGAGUUUGUUGGUUUCGACAUAGCCCUACCCAUAGCGAUCCACAGCUUCCAUCCUGAUUGUGCCGCCUGCGUGAAAUUUUUGUAUGCAAGUUCAGUGUGCUAUGAUGUUCUAUAUGAUUGUGUCAACUAUAUAAGUUUUUACUGAGCAUCAGCAAUGCAUAUGGCUGAAAGAUGUAUUUACGAGCAUCGACCGAUGGGUCUCUCUCUCUCUCACACACACACAUGCACAAGUGGUACCCAUUGAAUUAUUUCUUUGCUCGUGACAGCUUUUAAUUAGGUUUCACUGUAAUCUAACUUUUUUCUUAAGUUAUUAAUUGAGCUCAGUGACUUCAAAAAGUUGUACAGAAGUCUUGUUUGGGCCUUUCUGGCGUUGCUGAAUGUGGGCAUGAGUAGCCAUAUUAGGUUGUACUGUACUACAUAGGCCUUUUUUCAACAUCAGCAAUGCAACUGGGCCGACAGUUGUACACAAUAUCUGGGUCAACUUGUUAUUCUCCGCCCUGCUGGGCUACAAACUUUCCUAAGAGGUAUGCAUUAGGCUUAACAACAAAAUGGACUUUAAGAAAUAAUAAAUGGGAUGUAAUUAUAAUAACUGGGCAGUAACUAUAAAAAAUGCACCAAACGCGUAAUUAGUUUAAAAAAUAUAUCAUUUUUGGAAUUUGAAAGUUUUAAUUUCAUUACUUGUUGCGCGCGCAAUAUUUCGUUGGAUUUUAACGUAAUACAACUUUAUUUUGAAAUUAUAUUUAAUCUGACUAAAAUUUCAGAUAAAAAUAUUUCGGAUCUCAUAAAAAUGUGGGAAUUUUUUUUGAAUUCUGCUUUGAGCGGUUGGUUGAAAUUGUUGUUCUUUUUUUGAGCAAUGGUUGAAAUUAUUAAUCGUUGUCCUAGCUAGAAAAUGGGUUGUACUUUUAACAAACUGUAAAUGGGUUGUAGUAAAUUCCAUUAGAAUUAAAAAAUGGGUUGUACAUUCUUACAAAUCGCAAAUGGGCUAUAUGUUCUCUGCCACACACUAAUGGGCCUUCUAAGUUGACGCGUCCCCUAAAAAAACUAAGUUGACGUGUAUGCAAGGCUUUGUCAACAACACAUGGUUCUGGUAGCUGUGGCCGUUGGAUGUCCAUCCAACGGAUGUCAUGCUUCUUCUUCAAUCUCGUGCUUCAAACGCGUGGGCAUCCACUGCCGCGUUUUCCUCGGCUCCGCGUCGCCCCCUUCCUAGGCCUCGCCGUCGUCCACCGCCCUGGUGCUCUCGGCGCGGCGUGGUCAACGUGGUCAAGGAACGACUUCCAUCGGACGUGGACUGUACAUGGAGAGGCUGAUAGCUGGGUCCACGACCACAAUAAGGAAGUGCCUCCUUAUUACACGGAAAAUAAUGAUUCCUCCACAUGACAGCAGGGACCCACCGGACGGGCAACCGUAUUUCACAAAAAAAACAUUUCCCCCCUGACUGCUGGGACCUACCAGGUACAUAUUCGCACGCAAGGAAGUGCGUCUGGGCAAAAAAAAACGAUUCACCCCCCUGACUGCUGGGACCCACCAGCUACAUCUUCGCACGCAAGGAAGUACCUGACAGUCAGGACCCACCUAGUCGAAGCGUACGUAGCGUUGUCAUUCUGGUCCCGAAUGUGUACGUACAUACUGGUCGAUGUAGAGUCGCGCACGUGUCAUAGUAGAGGUGCGCGCGUAGCAUGUACACGUACGUACAUCGGCCAGUGUGUAAGAAAGAAAAUACGGCCACGUACGUGCAUACGGGCGAAGUCUUGAACGCCUAUCGCGCAUACGUACGGUCAGGGCUCGUGUACAUGGCUGGGUCGGAACGGAGAAACAGCAUCGUCAUCGCCCGCAAAAAAAAUAGCGUCAUCGUCAUGUUCAUGGGGAGGCAAUGGAAUGCGUCGUGUUCAUUGGGAGGCAACAGAGCGCGUGGGAGCCAACCGGCUUGGACGGAACAGCCGAUGGAAACGAGGCCUGGAGUACCGCAAAAUGGAGGAAACGGCCUUGUGUUCGACCAGCCACGUUUGAAACAGGAUCCUGUUCAUCGGGAGAGGUCUGGCGUACUGCAAAACGGAAGAAACGGACCUCCUAUGGUCGAAACGGGGUCCUAUUGAUCGGGAGGGGUGUGGCGUACUGCAAAACGGAGAAAAUGGACUUGUGUUGGAGCGCUACGGUCGAAACGGGGGUCCUGUUCAUUGGGAGGGGUGUGGCGUACCGCAAAACGGGACUCCAUGGGAUACCGUUCAACUCCACCGCCGACCCGCUCUAGCCUCCACGGGCUACUGUUCAUCCACCGUCGACCUCCUCCAGCCUCCACUUGCGACUGUUCAUCCACGGGCUCCUAUUCAUCCAGCCUCCACCGCGCGCUACUCCACCGGCUACUAUUCAACCAGCCCUCUCCACGGGCUCCUGUUCAACCACCCCUCCACGAUCUACUAUUCAUCCAACCCUUCACCGUCUACUGUUCAUCCAGCCCUCCACGGGGUCGUCCAGUUCAUCCAGCCCUCCACGGGGUCCUGUUCAUCCAGCCCUAACCGGCUCGAUUGAUCGGGGUCCUGUUCAUCCAGAGNNNNNNNNNNNNNNNNNNNNNNNNNNNNNNNNNNNNNNNNNNNNNNNNNNNNNNNNNNNNNNNNNNNNNNNNNNNNNNNNNNNNNNNNNNNNNNNNNNNNNNNNNNNNNNNNNNNNNNNNNNNNNNNNNNNNNNNNNNNNNNNNNNNNNNNNNNNNNNNNNNNNNNNNNNNNNNNNNNNNNNNNNNNNNNNNNNNNNNNNNNNNNNNNNNNNNNNNNNNNNNNNNNNNNNNNNNNNNNNNNNNNNNNNNNNNNNNNNNNNNNNNNNNNNNNNNNNNNNNNNNNNNNNNNNNNNNNNNNNNNNNNNNNNNNNNNNNNNNNNNNNNNNNNNNNNNNNAGCAACGCUCACUGUUCAUCCAGAGGCAGCAUCGAUCGGCUUCAGUUAGCAGCAGUAGCGAAGGAAUCGCUCGAUCGGGUUCAGUUAAGAGCCAUCGAUCGAUCGCUCGGGUUCAGUAACGCGUAGCCUGGAGUGCAAUCGCUUGGGUUCAGUAGGCGAACGCCUCGCUCGGGUUCAGAUAGAGCCCAACGCCUCUCACCCACGCGCAUGCGUGUACGAGAGAAACAUGCAAACCUCCAUGCAUCGCUCGGCCCCGACUACCCACCGUAACCGGGAACACCCCGAUAUUUUCCUCGCCCUUGCUUCUACCAUGGUUUUUUCUGUCAUGGACGGCCCAAAGAAUGUCAUGCAGCUAUGUCUCCGGCCCGCCCAGGACGAAAAGCCCGUUUUUUGUCAUGAUUUUUUUCAUAGAAGUAGGAGCCCACCACAUCUAUGAUGAUACCGGGUUUUUUCACAAUUAUCGUCAUAGAAGUGUCAUAAGUAUGACAGAAAAAUUUCAUUCGGCCCAAAAUGUCACGGAUGUGUCUUUUUUGUAGUGCUCAGCACGGCGUGGUCAACGAACGACAUCCAUCGGACAUGGACUGUACGUGGAGAGGCUGACAACUGGGUCCAUAGCCGCACAUAAGGAAAUGCCUCCUUAUUACGUGCAAAAUAAAGGUUCCUCCACCUGACAUCUGGGACCCACCGGAAGGGCCUCUGUAUUUCAUGAAAAAAAAUGUUCCCCCCGUUGACAGGUCGGACCCACCAGCUAUAUCUUCGCACGCAAGGAAGUGUCUCCUUAUUACGCACAAAAAAUGAAUACACCCCCUGCUAGCUGGGACCCAGCAUAGUGGGAGGCUGACUUGGGCCUACUAAGUUGACGGGGACGGAGGGAUUUGUCAACUUAGUCAAUAUGAACGAUUCUAGCUCUAAUGAUCGUACGAUGUCCACCCAAUGGCCGUAGUGCUUCUUCAACCUCUGGUCUUCUCGCUCUAGCCGCCCAAAGCAGCAUCGGUCGUGCUGCAUGUUCCUGCCUCCCAUGGCCUGCUAUGCUGCCGCGGAGGCCUCACUGCCCCCUACUACUCCCACUGUUGGCCAGGCCAUCCCUCCACUCACCCACACCCCCUGUUAUUCUGCGACGACGGCAGCCUCACACAGAAGCCGAACCAGUGAACCCUCGUACUCCUCUCCACGUGGGCAUCCAUUGCCGCGUCUUCCCUGGCUCCGCGUCAUCCCCUUCCUAGGCCUCACCUCAUCCACCGCCAUGGUGCUCUCGGCGCGGCUUGGUCAAGGAACGACUUCCAUCGGAAGAGUAUUGUACGUGGAGAGGCUGACAGCUGGGUCCACGGUCGCAGCAAGGAAGUGCCUCCUGAUUACGUGGAAAAUAAUGAUUCCUCCACCUGACAGUAGGGACCCAUCGGACGGGCCACCAUAUUUCACGAAAAAACGUUUCCCCCUGACUGCUGGGACCCACCAGCUACAUCUUCGCAUGGAAGGAAGUGCCUGACAAUCGGGACCCACCCGGUCGAAGCGUACGUAGCAUUGUCAUUCUGGUCACGAACGUGUACAUACAUAUUGAUCGAUGUAGAGGCACGCACGUGUGGUAGUAGAGGUGCGCAUGUGUCAUUGUAGAGGUGCGCACGUAACAUGUACACGUAUGUAUAGCGGCCAGGGUGCAAGAAAGUAAAUACAGCCAUGUAUGUACAUACAGGCGGGGUCUCGAACGCCUACUCGCGCAUACAUACGGCCAGGGCUCAUUUACAUGGAUGUGGCUGGGUCGGAACGGAGAAACUGUGUCGUCGUCAUGUUCAUGGGGAGGCAACGGGAUGCGUCGUGUUCAUUGGGAGGCAACGGAACACGCGUUGUUCAUCGGGAGCCAACCAACUUGGACGGAACAGCCGAUGGAAACGAGGCCUGGCGUACCGUGGAACGGAGGAAAUGGCCUUGUGUUCGACCGGCCACGGUGGAAACAGGAUCUUGUUCAUCGGGAGGGGUCUGGCAUACCGCAAAACAGAGGAAACGGACCUCUUAUGGUGGAAACGGGGUCCUGUUGAUCGGGAGGGGUGUGGCGUACCGCAAAACGGAGGAAACGGAGGUCAUGUUCAUCGGGAGGGGUGUGGCGUACCGCAAAACAGGACUCCAUGGGAUACUGUUCAUCUCCACUGUCGACCUCCUCCAGCCUCCACGUGCUCCUGUUCAUCCACCGACGACCUCCUCCAGCCUCCACCUGUGACUGUUCAUCCACGGGCUCCUGUUCAUCCAGCCUCCACCGCGCGCUCCUCCACCGGCUACUGUUCAACCAGCCCUCUCCAUGGGGUCCUGUUCAACCACCCCUCCACGAGCUACUGUUCAUCCAGCCCUCCACCGGCUACUGUUCAACCAGCCCUCCACGGGGUCCUGUUCAUCCAGCCCUCCACAGGAUCAUGUUCAUCCACCGGCUCGAUCGAUCGGGGUCCUGUUUAUCCAGCGGCAACGGCCUCUACUACCACGGGGUCCUGUUCAUCCAACCCCCCAUCGGGAACUGUUCAUCCAAACCCCCCCCCAACAACGCUCACUGUUCAUCCAUAGGUAGCAUCGAUCGGCUUCAGUUAGCAGCAGUAGCGAAGGAAUCACUCGGGUUCAGUUAACAGCAAGGAAUCGAUCGAUCGCUCGUGUUCAGUAACGCGUAGCCUGUAGUGCAAUCGCUCGGGUUCAGUUAGAGAGCAACGCCUCACUCAGGUUCAGUUAGAGCCCAACGCCUCGCACACACAGUCGUACAUACAAGAGAAACGUGCAUCGCUUGGCCCCCGACCACCCACCGUAACCGGGAACUCCUCGACAUUUUCCUUGCCCUCGCUUCUACCAUGGUUUUUUCCGUCAUGGGUGGCCCAAAGAAUGUCAUACAGCUGCGUCUCCGGCCCGCCUAGGAUGAAAAGCCCAUUUUCUGUCAUGAUUUUUUGUCAUAGAAGUAGGACCCCACCACAUCUAUAAUGAUACCGGGUUUUGUCACAAUUAUCAUCAUAGAAGUGUCAUAAGUAUGACAGAAAAAAAUCGUUUAGCCCAAAAUGUCACGGACAUGUCUUUUUUUUGUAGUGUAUGGUCGCAUCCCUUGGGGAGAAAAGGAAGGAGGGGAGUCAGCCUCCGCUUGCCUUCCCUCUCCUCCCCUUUCCUUCCCCCUGAGUGCAAAUAAGGAAGGGGGCGCCAUAGGGCAGGCACCCAAGGGGGCCGGCGGCCACCCUUGGGGCGCAACCUGGCUGCCUCCCCUCUCCCACCUAUAUAUAUAUGAGAGGGAGGGGCUCCACACACCCCAUGACAAUCCACAAUCCAUGUGCGGUGCCCCUCUCCCUGGUUUCAUCCUUCAUCUAAUUUUCUGCAGUGCACGACGAAGCCCUGCGAAACAAGUUCACCACCACUGCCAUCACGCCGUCAUGCUGCCAGAACUCAUCUACUACUUCAUCCGUCUUGCUGGAUCAAGAAGGCGAGAACGUCAUCGAGCUGAAUGUGUGUUGAACGUGGAGGUGUCGUACAUUCGGUACUUGAUCGGUUGGAUCAUGAAGCUGUACGACUACAUCAACCAUGUUGAUGAACGCUUCCGCUUUAUGGUCUAGGAGGGUACAUAGACAUACUCUCCCCUCUCGUAGCUAUGCAUCUCCAUGGAUAGAUCUUGCGUGUGUAUAGAAUUUUUUUUUGUUUUCCAUGCAACGUUCCCCAUCACAAAGAGAGAGAAAAAGCCAUCUAGCCACUAGCUAUGAACCCAUAGGUCUAUGGUAAACUACUCACACAUCAUUGGAGGGCAGUAAGGUUGAUGUAGAAGCCCUUCAUGAUCGAUUCCCCUCUAGUAGAGUACUGAAAGAGGUCUCCAGAUGGGAUCACGGAAGAACAGAAGGUUGCAGCGGCGGAAAAGGUGUUUCUGGUGGCUCUAUGUUGUUUCCGGGAUUUAUGGGAAUUUAUGGAGUUGGAAUUAGGUCAAUCGGAGCUCCGUCAGUCCCACAAGCUCCCGUAGCUCCCCUGGUCUUCUCUCGAGGCUCCUAGGGUCCCUUCUAUUCCAGAAAAAAUCAUCGUAAAGUUUUAUCGUGUUUGUACUUCGUUUGGUAUUGAUUUCCUGAAAAACCAAAAACAUGCAGAAAACAUAAACUAACACUGGGCACUGAGUUAAUAGGUUAGUUCCCCAAAAUGAUAUAAAAUGCAUAUAAACUAUCUAAAAUUGAUAUAUAAUAGCAUGAAACAAUCAAAAAAUAUAGAUACGUUCGAGAAAUAUCAGCAUCCCCAAGCUUAAUUCAUGCUCGUCCUCAAGUGGGUAAAUGAUAAAAAACGGAAUUUUUGAUGUUGAAUGUUACCUAGCAUGUUUGUCAUGCAAUCUCUUCUACGGCAUAAAUAUAUAGAAAUGAUGAAUUAAUUAGUAUCAACACAAUAAUAUCCAUGAAUAUAAUAACAUAAUCAUUACUAUUUCAGAAUAUAUGAUGCUCAACGAAUGUUAUCCCUACUCAUUGCAUUAUGUAAGCAUGGCAUGAUUCUGCCUUCACCGCAUAAGUAUAAAUCAUGAGCACACCGGUGUUAAACUAGGUAAUUGUAUCAUACUUUUUAACGCGCUUCAGCGUUUUCAACUCCACUCAAUAAAAUGAGUGUGAGACAUGGACAUUAGCAUUAUAGGUGGAAUAGAAUGCGGGGGUAGAGAUAUAUAGGAAAAGUCAAAAAGGAGAAAGUCUCGCAUCAAAUCGGCGGAUUAAUGGGCAAUGGAGAGGCCCAUCAAUCAAUAUCAAUGCGAGGCGUAGGGAUUGCCAUGCAAAGGAUGAACUAGAGCUAUAAGUGUAUGAAAUCUCAAUGGAAACUAAGUGGGUGUGCAUCCAACUUACUUGCUCAUGAAAACCUCAGGCAUUUGAGGAAGCCCAUCAUCGGAAUAUACAAGACAAGUUCUAUAAUGAAAAAUUCCCACUAGUAUAUAUAAGUGAUAACGCAGGAGACUAAUACAUCUCCAAAGUAUCUAUAAUUUUUAAUGUUCCAUGCUAUUAAAGUAUCAAUCUUGGAUGUUUUAUAUAUAUUCAGGGUCCGUUCGGAAGUCAUCCUGCUCCGCGCUUCAUAAACUCCAGGCGCGGAGCUGAGCUGGACGUUUUAGCUGUGAGAAGAUGGCUUCGAUAAGUCCCAAUGGGUCGUAGUGUAUUUUUCGAGGAGUUAGCGAAGCUGGGAAAUCGGUGCUCCAGGAAAUCUUCUAAACCGUGGAGUUCACUAAAAUUACAAGGAGUGCCACCGCCAAGUCAAGGAAAACGUUUCGAUUAGUCUCUCUCCUUCCUUGUUUCCUCUCUCGUGCUUAUUCCUCGAAUAGAAAGAGGUGUCUCCUACCUUUUUGGGCUGCCAGCCUGCCUCCAAGCCGGCCCAGUAUGGCACAACAUAGGCCAGCAACGGUUGCCAGCCCAAGCUGACAAGAGAGAAGCUGAUUUCGCUGUCGAACGCACAAGAAUCGCUGCAUGGAGCGAGAAGCCAGAUCGAGAAAUUGAAUCUUCAGAGUUGAUAGAGUUGUGAGAGGUUCCGAACACGCCCUUACUAGCAACUUUAUAUCAUUUUUGGGACUAACCUAUUGACAUAGUGUCCAGUGCCAGUUGUUGUUUUUUGCUUGUGUUUUACUUUGCAGAAUAUCAAUACCAGACGAAGUCCAAAUGCCACGAAACUUUUUGGAGAUUUUUUCUGCCCAUAAGACACCCAGGGAGCCAAAGGAACACACGAGAGGAGGCCCAUGGGUCCCACUAGGCACCAGGGCGCGCCAGGGGCCCCAAGUGCCCUGGUGGGUAGUGGAUCCCACAGACACCCUUUUGACCUACCUCUACCUCUAUAAAUACUCUAAAAUCCCAAGAACCCUAGGGGAGUCGACGAAACACUUUUUCAGCCGUUGUAUGUUCUAGAACCACGAGAUCCAAUCUAGAGGCCUUUUCCAGCACUCUGUCGGAGGGGGCAACAAUCAUGGAGGGGUUCUUUAUCAUCCUUGCUGCUCCUCCGAUGAUGCGUGAGUAGUUUACCACAGACCUACGGGUCCGUAGCUAGUAGCUAGAUGGCUUCUUCUCUCUUUUUGAUAUUCAAUACAAUGUUCUCCUCGUUGUUCUUGGAGAUCUAUUUGAUGUAACUCCUUUUUGUGGUGUGUUUGUUGGGAUCCGGUGAAUUGUGGGUUUAUGAUCAGUUCUAUCCAUGAAUAUUAUUUGAGUCUUUGCUGAACUAUUUUAUGCAUGAUUGCUCGUAUUUGUUCUCUGAAUUAUUGGUUUGGUUUGGCCAACUAGAUUGAUUUUUCUUGCCAUGGUAAGAGGUGCUUUGUGAUGGGUUUGAUCUUGAGGCGCUCAACCUCAGUGACAGAAAGAGACAUGACACGCACGUAUCAUUGCUAUUAUGGGUAACAAAAUGGGGUUUACUCAUACGUGAGUUUAUUUUGUCUACAUCAUGCCAUCGUUCUUAUUGCAUUACUCUGUUUUUCCAUGAACUUAAUACACUAGAUGCAUGCUGGAUAACGGUUGAUGUGUGGAGUAAUAUUAGUAGAUAUAGUCAGGAGUCGGUCUAUUAAUCUUAUACGUGAUGCCUAUAUACAUGAUCAUUGCCUUGGAUAUCGUCAUGAUUAUUCGCUUUUCUAUCAAUUGCCCAACAAUAAUUUGUUUACCCACCGUAUACUAUUUUCUUAAGAGAAGCCUCUAGUGAAAACUACGGCCCCCAGGUCUAUUUCCUAGCAUAUUAAACCUAAAUAUACCUUGUUGCACUUUUUCUUUAUUUAUUUUAUUUUGUGUUUUAGUUAGAUCUAUUUAUCAAAUCCCAAAUAGUUUAAUCUAUGUCAAUACCGUUGAGGGAUUGACAACCCCUCUUACGCGUUGGGUUGCAAGUAUUUGUUGUUUAUGUGCAGGUGUUGUUUACAUAGUGUUGCUUGGUUCUCCUACUGGAUUGAUAACCUUGGUUUCAUGACUGAGGGAAAUACUUACCUUUGUUAUGCUGCAUCAGCCUCUCCUCUUCGGGGAAUUACCAAUGCAGAUACAAGCAAUCAGAUACACCCUAUAUGAAGAACAUGGUGCUACUCUAAAGCACAACUGUGGUAAAGGAUAGUAACAUUGCCCCUUCUCUCUUUUUUUCUCCUUUUUUGUUGGGCUCUUUUGGCCUCUCUUUUUCGUCUGGAGUCUCAUCCUAACUUGUGGGGAAUCAUUGUCUCCGUCAUCCUUUCCUCACUCGGACAAUGCUCUAAUAAUGAUAAUCAUCACACUUUUAUUUAGUUACAACUCGAUAUUACAACUCGAUGAACUGACACAAUAUGACUCUACAUGAAUGCCUCUGGCAGUGUACCAGGAUGUGCAAUGAUCUAGUGUAACAUGUAUAACAAUGAUGAAUGGUGGCUUUGCCACGAAUAUCAUGUCAGCUCUAUGUGAUCAUGCAAAGCAAUAGGAUGAUGAACACACAUGUUAUAAGACGGAAUGGUGGAAGUUGCAUGGCAAUAUAUCUCAGAAUGGCUAUGAAAAUGCCAUGAUAGGUAGGUACGGUGGUUGUUUUGAGGAAGAUAUAAGGAGGCUUAUGUGUGAUAGAGUGUAUCAUAUCACGGGGUUUGGGUGCACCGGCAAAGUUUGCACUGACUCUCGAGGUGAGAAAGGGCAAUGCACGGUACCAAAGAGGCUAGCAAAUUGCAAAAAGGUAGGAAUGCGUAAUUGUCCAUGAACUCACAUUAGUCAUAAAGAACUCAUAUACUUCUUGCGAGCGUUUAUUAGCCCUCGAAGCAAAGUACUACUCGCAUGUCCCUAGGAGGAAGGUUGGUAGGAAUUAACCAUUGCGUACCCUCCGAUUAUAACAACACUCAAUUGUUUCAAUCAGAUAUAAAAAUGCUCACGCAUCCCCGUCAUGCCAUGUCUAACACUUAAAUGAGUAGUUAAUAACAAGCUUUAAUAUCUAUAUUCCUACAAACCAAUGAUCAUGAACUCAUACUCUUUUGUAUUACAACAUCCAUAUAAUUAAACCAUACUUUCAUAUUUAGCGACCUAGAUGAAAGUUUUUAUUGUAUCAAUCUGAAAUACCUAUCCUUUCCGACUAGUCUUAUAACCGUGCUCAUUACCACUUCCUAUUUAAGACUCUCAAAAAGAUUUUAAGUGAAGCAUGAGGGUAAAAUUAUUUCUAUAAAACAUAACCAUCAUCAUUCUCUAACAAAUAUAAGUGAAGCAAAAGAGCAACUGCCUAGCUCAGAAGAUAUAAUAGAAGCACAUAGAGUAUUCUAACAAAUCGCAAGGAAUGUGUGUCUCUCUCAAAAGGUGUGUCUAGCAAACAAUGAUUGUGGCAAACUAUCAAGCAAGCAAACGAAAACUAUGGCACAAGACGCUCCAAGUAAAACUCAUAUCAUGUGAUGAAUAAAAAUGUAGCUCCAAGUAACAUACCGAUGAAUCAUGGACGAAAGAGGGGAUGCCAUCCGGGGCAUCCCCAAGCUUAGACGCUUGGGUCUUCCUUGAAUAUUACCUUGGGGUGCCUUGGGCAUCCCCAAGCUUAGGGUCUCGCUGCUCCUUAUUCCUUCAUCCGUCGUGAUCUCACCCAAAAACUUGAAAACUUCAGCACACAAAACUCAACAGAAACCUCAUGAGUUCCGUUAGUAUAAUAGGCAAAUCAUAAACUUAGGUUACUGUUGUAAACUCAUUCAUAAUUAAUCUUGCAUAAUACCUAUUGUAUUCUAACUUCUCCAUGACUUAUACCCCCUGAUAUAAUCCAUAACAUCAUUAAAACAAGCACACGAUGCAAUAGAAAACAAAAUCUGUCUAAAACAGAACAAUUUGUAAUGAUCUGACCAAAAACUACAAUUCUGCAACACCAAAAAUCUGAGAAAUUAGGACAACAUGGAAAAUUCGUAUAUCAAUCAUUUGUAAAAAAAUCAGAAUUUUAUCACGUUCCAGUGAAUUAUAGUAAUUCCAGCACUGGGCGCAAAAGAUUUUGUAUGUUCACAUAAUCAAGUCAACAUCAACCAAAUCAUCCCAAAGGCUUUACUUGGCACAAACACUAAUUAAAACAUGAAAAACACAAUCGUUAUAGUAGAAAUAAUUGUGCCGAACACAUAAGAACAAAAAGUAAAAGAAAAAUUUUAAGAUAACUAUUGGGUUUCCUCCGAACAAGCGUUAUUGUUUUACGCCGCUAGCUAGGCGUAAUGCAUUGUUUCAAGUAUCAUAAUAACAAUAAGGGAGAUCAUCCAUGUUCAUCUCAUCCUCCCUUCUCUCAGCAUAAGGCUUCCUAAGAGGUAGGCAAAAAUAAUCGAAAGGGCUAAAUUUUGUAGGAUAUGGAUUUGUAAGAUCAACUUUAGGAGGAGGAGGCUCCUCCUUCGGCCCUUUGUAAGUGAUGACUAUUUUGUUGGGGAACGUUGCAUGGAAAACAAAAAAAAUCUACGCACACGCAAGAUCUAUCCAUGGAGAUGCAUAGCUACGAAGAGGGGGGAUAGCAUCUACAUACCCUUGCAGAUCGCUAAGCGGAAGCGUUUAUCAACGUGGUUGAUGUAGUUGUACACCUUCACGAUCCGUCCCGAUCAAGUACCGAACGUACGACACCUCUGCGUUCAACACAUGCUCAGCUCGAUGACAUCCUUGCCUUCUCAAUCUAGCAAGAGAGGCAAAGCAGUAGAUGAGUUCUGGCAGCACGACAGUGUGGUGGCGGAGGUGGUGAAACUAUCCGCAGGGCUUCACCAAGCACAACAGACAUGGACGGAGAAGGAACAAGAACUGGAGCGAGACGGGGCUCCGCAGACGGCUUGGGGAUUGUGGUGUGUAUUGCCCCUCUCCCUCCCCUCAUAUAUAUAGGUGGGGAAGGCAGCCUAGGGCGCUGAUACGUCUCCAACGUAUCUAUAAUUUUUUAUUGUUCCAUGUUGUUUUAUUAUCAAUCUUGGAUGUUUUAUAAUCAUAUUAUAGUCAUUUUAUAUCAAUUUUUUGGUACUAACCUAUUGACAUAGUGCCAAGUGCCAGUUGCUAUUUUUCCAUGUUUUUUAUAUCGCACAAAUCAAUAUCAAACGGAGUCCAAAUGCCACAAAAAUUUACGGAGAUUUUUUAUGGGCCAGAAGGAAGGCAAUGGGCCCUGGUUGCACCUGGGGGGUGCCCCGAGGGGGGCACAACCCACCAGGGCGCGCCAGGAGGCCCAGGCACGCCCUGGUGGGUUGUGCCCACCUCGGGUGCCCCCCGGACCGCCUCUUUGCUCUAUAAAUACCCCAAAAAUACCAGAACCCUAGGGGAGUCGACGAAAUAUUCAUCCAGCCGUCGCAGAGUCUAGAACCACCAUAUCCAAUCUAGACACCAUCUCGGAUGGGGUUCACCACCUCCAUUGGUGCCUCUUCGAUGAUGCGUGAGUAGUUCUUUGUAGACCUUCGGGUCCGUAGUUAGUAGCUAGAUGGCUUCAUCUCUCUCUCUCUUGAUUCUCAAUACAAUGGCCUCUAUCAAUUGCCCAACAGUAAUUUGUUCACCCAUAGUUUGCUAUUUUUCUCGAGAGAAGCCACUAGUGAAACCUACGGCCCCCUGGUCUUCUUUCUCAAUAAUUUGCCUUGCGAUCUACUUUUCCUUUGCAUUUUCAUUCAUAUCUAUUAAAUAAAAAAAUCCAAAAAUACCUUGCUGCAAUUUAUUUUAUUUGGCGUUCGAUCUAUCAAUAUUUACAACUUUAUUUCCCAUCUCUUGCCAUUUAUGGCGCCGUUACCCGAAAGGGAUUGACAACCCCUUUAACAUGUCGGGUUGUGAGGUGUUGUUAUUUGUGUGCAGGGGCUGUUUACGUUGUGUUGCUUGGUUCUCCUACUGGUUCGAUAACCUUGGUUUCAUAACUGAGGGAAAUACCUACCGUCGCUAUGCUACAUCAUCCCUCCCUCUCCAAGGAAAUACCGACGUAGUUCCAGCUACCAUCAAGGAGAAUUUCUGGCGUCGUUGCCGGGGAGGAUCUUCAUCAUAACCAGGUUCCUAAUCUCAAAUCUCAUCUCCUUGCAAUUUACAUUAUUUGCCAUUUGCCUCUCAUUUUCCUCUCCCCCACUUCACAAAAAUUUGCCGUUUUAUUUGCCCCUCUUGUUCUGUUUGCUCUUUUCUUGCCGGAUCUGUUUUUGAGUGCAAUCUUGUUGUGUGGUCAUCAUGACUCAAGAGAACACCAAGUUAUGUGAUUUCUCAAAUACCAACAACAAUGAUUUUAUUGGCACUCCGCUUGCUCCUCCCGCCACUAGUGCGGAUACUUGUGAUAUUAAUACUGCUUUGCUGAAUCUUGUUAUGAAAGACCAAUUUUCCGGUACUCCUAAUGAGGAUGUCGCAUCCCAUCUUAAUACCUUCGUGGAAUUAUGCGAUAUGCAAAAGAAAAAAGAUGUGGACAAUGAUGUGGUCAAGAUGAAAAAUUUUGUGCCUAAAGUAGAUGAAUCAAUUAAAGCUCUUUAUGUUUCUAUGGAUGAAAGUAUGAAAAAACUGCUAUUCUUAGAGCUAAAAGAGAAUUUUUAGAAAAAAGCUUUUUCUAGUAAUUAUUCUUGCAAAAGUGAUGAAGAUCUUAAAAUGAUUGGUGUUUCAUUGAUUCCUUUUUUAGUAAAGUUAAGAAUGUUGAAAAAGGGACUGGAGAAGAGUCAACUUUAGGUAGAAGGCCUCCCAAUAUUUCGGAGGGUGAAAAUCUUGUUGAGAAAAUUGAUGAAAGUGGGUUUGGAGAGGUCAAAACUUUAGCUAGUGAUGCACCCACUAUUUUGGAUUACAAAGACUUUAAUUAUGAUAGUUGCUCUUUGAUUGAUUGUAUUUCUUUGUUGCAAUCCAUGAUAAUUUCACCCCAUGCUUAUGAACAAAAUAAAGCUUUUACUAAACAUAUUGUUGAUGCUAUGAUGAAAGCUCUUGAAGAAAAAUUGGAAUUAGAAGUUUCAAUUCCUAGAAAUCUGCAUGACGAGUGGGAACAUGCUAUCAAAGUCAAGAUUAAAAAUUAUGAAUGUUUUGCUUUGUGUGACUUGGGUGCUAGUGUUUCCACAAUUUCGAAAUCUUUAUGUGAUGUGCUUGGUCUUACCGAUCUUGAAGAAUGCUCUUGAAUUAAUGAUGUUCUUAUUCUUGCAAAUAGGAAUUAUGUUCCCAUAGAUUUUAUUGUUCUUGAUAUUGAUUGCAAUCUGUCUUGUCCUAUUAUUCUUGGUAGACCGUUUUUACGCACUAUCGGUGUUGUGAUUGAUACGAAAGAAGGAAAUAUUAAGUUCCAAUUUCCUUUGAGGAAGGGUAUGGAACACUUUCCUAGAACUAGAAUUAAGCCACCUUAUGAAUCAAUCAUGAGGGCAUCUUAUGGAUCUCGAACCAAAGAUGACAAAACUUAGAUCCUUGCUUUAUGCCUAGUUAAGGGCAUAAAACUAUAGCGCUUGUUGGGAGACAACCCAAUGAAUAAAAUUUAUUUUUGCUUUUCGCUUUCUGUUCUUGUGUGUUAGCACAAUUAUGCUACUGUUAUGAUUGUGUUUUUAUGUUUUAAUUAGUGUUUUUGCCAAGUAAAGCCUUUAGGAUCUUCUUGGGCAAUAGUUGUUUGAUCUUACUGAAAAAACAUAAACUUUUACGCUCACAAAAUAAAUUUUCAUUUCUUACCAGAGAGCGGUAAAAUAACCAUUCCAAUUUCAAUAAAUCAAUAUGCAAAUUUCUCAGACCGUCCUAAUUUUUCAUAGUUUUUUUAGAUACAUAAGUAUUCGAAAUAGUCAGAUUUCUACAUACUGUUCUGUUUUGACAGAUUCUGUUUUCUUUGUGUUGUGUGCUUAUUUUGAUGGCUCUAUGGUUUUCUUUGAUGAGUUUUUGCCAUAGAAAAGUUGGAAUACAGUAGAUAUAAUACAAAAACAAAAUAUGAAUUGGUUUUAUACAGCACUUAUAGUAGUGGUUUAUUAUUCUUAUACUAACGGAUCUCGCGAAGGCUUUGUUGAGUUCUGUGUGAUUGAAGUUUUCAAAUUUUGGGUUAUCUUACGAUGGAUGAAGGAAGGAUUUAAUAGUCUAAGCUUGGGGAUGCCCCGUCAUACCAAUCUAUUAUCCAAGAAUGAGCAACCAACUAAACUUGGAGAUGCCCCCGAAUGGCAUCCCCGCUUUCUUCCAACAACUAUCGGUAUUUUACUCGAGGCUAUAUUUUUAUUCAUCACAUGAUAUGUGGUUUGCUUGGAGCGUCUUGUAUGAUAUGUGUCUUUGCUUGUUUUAUUUUGUAUUUUAAGUCAUCAAUCCUUGCUGGACACACCUAUUUGAGAGAGCCAAAAUUAUGUCAUGACUUGUUAGAAUUGCUCUCUAUGCUUCACUUAAAUCUUUUAUGAGCUAGGACUUGCUCUAGUGCUUCACUUAUAUCUUUUUGAGCACGGUGUGCUUUGUUAUUUUUGAAGAAAUGCUCUGUUGCUUCACUUAGAUUUAUUUGAGAGUUAGUAAAAUUUUGAAGAAAUUCUCUCUUGCUUCACUUAAAUUAUUUUGAGAGAAAUAAAAUUUGUUAUGCUCAUGAUCUUCACUUAUAUUUGUUCGAGCUUAUGAAAAGCAACACAUGAAAAUUAGUGCCAAAGUGAUAGAUAUCCAAGAAGGAUAAAGAAAAAGAAAAUGUCAUGAAGAUCAUUGGACAAAAAAAACUUGAUUCUUAGUAAUAGUUUUGAGAUAUGAUGAUGUGAUAUGUGAGUCAUCUUGGUGAGUAAUUGUGCUCUAGUAAGAGUAUUGCUGUUAAGGUUUGUUAUUCCUUAUGCAUGCACGAAAGUCAGUAACCAUGCAAUGAAAAAUAUAUCCUACUUGUGGUGCAUUAUUCGGUGUUAAUUAUGCUUAAUGCUUGCUUAUGAGAUUAUUCGUUUCUUGGUUGGUCGCUUCUCAAUCUUUUUGCUAGCCUUCAUUUUGCACUAAGUAUGACCUCUACUUGUGCAUCCAAAAUCCUUUAAACCAGUUUUGCCACAUGAGUCCACUAUAUCUACCUAUAUGCGGUAUUCUUUUGCCGUUCUAAGAAAAUUUGCAUGUGCCAUCUCUAAUUUUCAAAAUAAACUUCUCUUUUGUGUGUUUGUUUUGCUCACGGAGCGGUGAGGGGUGGCUAAUAUUUUCCAUGCUAGAUGUGUUAUUCUCAAGAUGAGUGUUUAUUCACUUGUCAUUGCAUGAGAGUAAGGCAAAGGUAUUAGGGAUGCCCAAUCCCGAAAUGCAAAAACAAAUGAAUUUACUUUAUGUUGUAAAAUAAUAAAUUCCUUGGAAAGUGUUUGUACGGAGGGCACCCGUGGAUACGGUUAGCCAUGGAAAGUGAAAGUUAUGGUGGAAAAAGGAAUAAACUUUAUUUUCUGUUUGGGAACCGACUAUGAUAUAUCUAAUCAUGGAAAGUAUUGGGAACUCUAACUCAUUUUCGUUGGUGGGAUGGAUACACCUCCCAAAAUGUUUUUAUCUCAAAUUUUUCUCUUUGAGCUCCGGCACCUCUACAAAUCCCUACUUCCCUCUGCGAAGGGACUUUCUUUUACUUUAUGCAAUUUUUAUUUUGAAAUUCGAGUCUCCAUCUUCUCUCAUAAAAGCACCAGCUAGGAGGCAAUAUGAUCGUGCUCAAGUAUUGGGUGUAGUUAAUAUUUGAUUGUGUUUCAUGAAUGGAUCAAUGUUUGAGCAUGAUGGGUCAGGGAUAACUUAUUUUAGCAUUGAUAUUUUGAAAGACAUGGUUCCUUGUUGAUAUGCUUGAGUAUCUAAAUUAUUAUGUCAAAACUAGACUAUUGCUUUGAAUCACAUAAAAGUCCAAAUGUCCAUGCUAUAAAGAAAAGAAUAUGAUAUGACUUGAUGAACAGCGCUCCACAUCAAAAAUUAUGUUUUUAUCAAUUUCCUACUCGAGGGCGAGUAUGAGUUAAGCUUGGGGAUGCUGAUACGUCUCCAACGUAUCUAUAAUUUUUGAUUGUUCCAUGCUGUUUUAUUAUCAAUCUUGGAUGUUUUAUAAUCAUUUUAUAGUCAUUCUAUAUCAGUUUUUGGUACUAACCUAUUGCCAUAGUGCCAAGUGCCAGUUGCUGUUGUUUCCAUGUUUUUUACAUCGCAGAAAAUCAAUAUCAAACGGAGUCCAAAUGCCAUGAAACUUUACGAAGAUUUUUUAAGGGCCAGAAGGAAGGCAAUGGGCCCCGGUUGCACCAGGGGGUGCCCCGAGGGGGCACAACCCACCAGGCGUGCUAGGAGGCCCAGGCGCGCCCUGGUGCGUCGUGCCCACCUCGGGUGCCCCCCGGACCGCUUCUUUGCUCUAUAAAUACCCCAAAAAUACCAGAACCCUAGGGGAGUCGACUAAAUAUUCAUCCAGCCGCCGCAGAGUCCAAAACCACCAGAUCCAAUCUAGACACCAUCUCAGAUGGGGUUCACCACCUCCAUUGGUGCCUCUCCGAUGAUGCGUGAGUAGUUCUUUGUAGACCUUCGGGUCCGUAGUUAGUAGCUAGUUGGCUUCAUCUCUCUCUCUCUCUCUUGAUUCUCAAUACAAUGGUCUCUUGGAGAUCCAUAUGAUGUAACACUUUUGCGGUGUGUUUGUUGGGAUCGAUGAACUUCGAGUUUAUGAUCAGAUCUAUGUUUUUUAUCCAUGCAAGCAUUUGAGUUUCUUUGAUCUCUUUUAUGCAUGAUCUCUUAUAGCCUCAUAUUUCUUCUCUGAUAUUUGGGUUUUGUUUGGCCAACUUGAUCUAUUUAUCUUGCAAUGGGAAGAGGUGCCCGAUAGUGGGUCCGAUCUUACGGUGCUUGAUCCCAGUGACAGAAAGGGAACCGACACAUAUGUAUCGUUGCUACUAAGGAUAAAAAGACGAGAUCUAUAUCUACCGCCAUAUAGAUAAACGGAUCUUGUCUACAUCAUGUCAUCAUUCUUAUUGCAUUACUCCAUUUUUCCAUUAACUUAAUACACUAGAUGCAUGUUGGAUAGCGGUCGAUGUGUGGAGUAAUAGUAGUGGAUGCAGGCAGGAGUCGGUCUACUAAUCUUGGGUGUGAUGCCUAUGUAAUGAUCAUUGCCUGGAUAUCGUCAUAAUUAUUUGAAGUUCUAUCAAUUGCCUGACAACCCACAAGUAUAGGGGAUCGCAACAGCUUUCGAGGGUAGAGUAUUCAACCCAAAUUUAUUGAUUCGACACAAGGGGAGCCAAAGAAUAUUCUCAAGUAUUAGCAGCUGAGUUGUCAAUUCAACCACACCUGGAAACUUAGUAUCUGCAGCAAAGUGUUUAGUAGCAAAGUAAUAUGAUAGUGGUGGUAGCCGCGACAAAAGUAAAGACAACAAAAGUAAUGUUUUUGGUAUUUUGUAGUGAUUGUAACAGUAGCAGCAGGAAAGUAAAUAAGCGAGAACCAGUAUAUGGAAAACUCGUAGGCACCGGAUCAGUGAUGGAUAAUUAUGCCGGAUGCGGUUCAUCAUGUAAUAGUCAUAACAUAGGGUGACACAGAACUAGCUCCAAUUCAUCAAUGUAAUGUAGGCAUGUAUUCCUAAUAUAGUCAUACGUGCUUAUGGAAAAGAGCUUGCAUGACAUCUUUUGUCCUACCCUCCUGUGGCAGCAGGGUCCUAUUGGAAACUAAGGGAUAUUAAGGCCUCCUUUUAAUAGAGAACCGGAACAAAGCAUUAGCAAAUAGUGAAUACAUGAACUCCUCAAACUAUGGUCAUCACCAGGAGUGGUCCCGAUUAUUGUCACUUCGGGGUUGCCGGAUCAUAACAUAUAGUAGGUGACUAUAGACUUGCAAGAUAGGAUCAAGAACUCACAUAUAUUCAUGAAAACAUAAUAGGUUCAGAUCUGAAAUCAUGGAACUCGGGCCCUAGUGACAAGCAUUAAGCAUAGCAAAGUCAUAGCAACAUCAAUCUCAGAACAUAAUGGAUACUAGGGAUCAAACCCUAACAAAACUAACUCGAUUACAUGAUAAAUCUCAUCCAACCCAUCACCGUCCAGGAAGCCUACGAUGCAAUUACUCAUGCACGGCGGUGAGCAUCAUGAAAUUGGUGCUGGAGGAUGGUUGAUGAUGACGACGGCGACGAAUCCCCCUCUCCGGAGCCCCAGACGGACUCCAGAUCAGCCCUCCCGAGAGGUUUUAGGGCUUGGCGGCGGCUGUGUAUCGUAAAACGCGAUGAUUUCUUCUCUCUGAUUUUUCUCUCUCCGAAAGCAAAUAUAUAGAGUUGGAGUUGGCGUCGGAGGGCAUCCAGGGGGCCCACGAGGUAGGGGCGCGCCCUAGAGGGGGGGCGCGCCCCCCACCCUUGUGGACAGGGUGUGGGCCCCCUGGUCUUCAUCUUUGGCGAGGAUUUUUUAUUAUUUUUUCUAAGAUGUUCCGUGGAGUUUCAGGUCAUUCCGAGAAUAUUUGUUUUCUGCACAUAAAACAACACCAUGGCAAUUCUGCUGAAAACAGCGUCAGUCCGGGUUAGUUCCAUUCAAAUCAUACAAGUUAGAGUCCAAAACAAGGGCAAAAGUGUUUGGAAAAGUAGAUACGACGGAGACGUAUCAACUCCCCCAAGCUUAAACCCUUGCUUGUCCUCAAGCAAUUCAGUUGACAAACUGAAAGAAAGAAAGAAAAACUUUUACAAACUCUGUUUGCUCUUGUUGUUGUAACUAUGUCAAGCCAGCAUUCAAAUUUUCAGCAUAAAUCAUAACUAACCACGUUUGCAAUAAUUCUCAAGUCUCAUAAUUACUCAUAUCAAUAGCAUAAUCAACUAGCAAAUCAUAAUAAUAAAUCUUGGAUGAUAACACUUUCUCAAAAAAAUCAUAAUAUGAUAUAACAAGAUGGUAUCUCGCUAGCCCUUUCUGAGACCGCAAAACAUAAAUGCAGAGCACCUUUAAAGAUCAAGGACUGACUAGACAUUGUAAUUCAUGGUAAAAGAGAUCCAAUCAUAGUCACACCCAACAUAGAUUAAUAGUGAUGAAUGCAAAUGACAGAUGUGCUCUCCAGCUAGUGCUUUUUAAUAAGAGGGUGAUGACUUGACAUAAAAGUAAAUGGGUAGGCCCUUCGUAGAGGGAAGCAGGGAUUUGUAGAGGUGCCAGAGCUCGGUUUUGAAAUAGAAAUAAAUUGCAUUUUGAGCGGUAUACUUUCAUUGUCAACGUAACAACUAAGAGAUGACGAUAUCUUCCAUGCUAAACACAUUAUAGGCGGUUCCCAAACAGAAUGGUAAAGUUUAUACUCCCCCUCCACCAACAAGCAUCAAUCCAUGACUUGCUCGAAACAACGAGUGUCUCCAACAUACAUCAGGUCCUAGGGGAGUUUUGUUUGCAAUUAAUUUUGAUUUAAUUUGCAUAAAGCAUGGGACUGGGCAUCCCGGUGACCAGCCAUUUUCUUGUGAGUGAGGAGCGGAGUCCACUCCUCUUGAGAAUAACCCGCCUAACAUGGAAGAUAAGGACAGCCUUGGUUGAUACAUGAGCUAUUCGAGCAUACAAAAUAGAAUGUUUAUUUGAAGGUUUAGAGUUUGGCACAUACAAAUUUACUUGGAACGGCAGGUAGAAACCGCAUAUAGGAAAGUAUAGUGGACUCAUCUGGAAUGACUUUGCGGUUUAAGGGAUUGGAUGCACAAGCAGUAUUCCCGCUUAGUACAAGUGAAGGCUAGCAAAAGACUGGGAGGCGACCAACUAGAGAGCGACAACAGCCAUGUACAUGCAUUAAAAUUAAUAAACAUUGGAUGCAAGCAUGAGUAGGAUAUAAUCCACCAUGAACAUAAAUAUCGUGAAGGCUAUGUUGAUUUUGUUUCAACUACAUGAGUGAACAUGUGCCAAGUCAAGUCACUUAAAUCAUUCAAAGGAGGAUACCACCAAAUCAUACCACAUCAUAACCAUCUCGAUAGCAUGUUGGCAUGCAAGGUAAACCAUUAUAACUCAUAGCUAAUCAAGCAUGGCACAAGCAACUAUGAUCUCUAAUUGUCAUUGCAAACAUGUUUAUUCAUAAUAAGCUGAAUCAAGAACGAGGGGCUCAUCAUAUUUACAAAAACAAAAGAGGUCGAGUUCAUACCAGCUUUUCUCAUCUCAGUCAGUUCAUCAUAUAUCAUCAUAAUUGCCUUUCACUUGCACGGCCGAACGGUGUGAAUAAUAAUAAGAGUGUACGUGCAUUGGACUAAGCUGGAAUCUACGAGCAUUCAAUAAACAGGAGAAGACAAGGCAAUAUGGGCUCUUGGUUAAAUCAACAAUAAUGCAUAUAAGAGCCACUUCAACAAUUUAAUUCUAGUCUUCUCCUACUGACCCCCAAAGAAAAGAAAAGAAAUAAAACUAUUUACACGGGAAAGCUCCCAACAAGCAAAAGAAGAACGGAAAAUAUUGUUGGGUUUUCUUUUUAAUUAUUACUACUACAGCAUAAAAAUAAACUAAUACUAAUUUUUUUUUGGUUUUUCUUAAGGUUUAACAAACACACAAGAAGGAAGCAGGAAAAAGAAAAUAAACUAGCAUGGAUAUUACAGUGAAAGAGUAUGAGCACCAACAUCUAGUGAUGAGUGUGUGUGAGCAUAAAUGUAAUGUUGGUGAGAAAUACGUACUCCCCCAAGCUUAGGCUUUUGGCCUAAGUUGGUCUAUUGCUAGGGAUAGCCUGGCGGAUACUCGUAAGUGUAGCUGGGGUCGUACUGCGACGAAGAAUAGUUGGGAUCAUACUGAUGUGCAGCGGUUAUCACCUGCUAAGCUGCAGCGUGGAGUCGAGCUGCCUCCACUCUCCUCUCGUACUCUUCUGCCUCCUCUCUGGUAAUAACAUAUCUUCUUUUUGUCUAUGAAUCAAAGAAGGUAGGAGCAGGGAGAGUAAUACGGAAAACACGUCGUUUAUCAAAAAUUAAACGAUAUAAGAAAGGUGAUUCAGGCCUCUCGACAAACUGGUGCGAAGCCAUAGAGUUAUAAUCUAAGUAUGCAGGAGGCAACUCCGUAUCACCCUCAUGAAUGUCUAUCUCAAGAAAAUGAGCUAAGCGGGUUGCAUAAAUUCCUCCAAAGAAAUCUCCAUUAUGUCUAUUAUGAUGCAACCUACGAGCUACAAUGGCUCCCAUAUGAUAAGAUUGGUCUCCUAACACAGCACUCCUAAGAAUUCUAAGAUCAGGGACACACAUGUGACAUGCUUCAUCCUUAGCAUUUAUGCAUCUACCGAUGAAGAGAGCAAAAUAAUGUAUAGCAGGAAAGUGAAUGCUCCCUAUGGUAGCCUGCGUUAUAUCUCUAGAUUCCCCCAAAGUUAUACUAGCAAGAAAGUUUCUAAAUUCAGAUUUUGGGGGAUCCCUAACACUACCCCAUGAUGGAAGUUUGCAAGCAGAAGUGAAAUCCUCUAAGUCCAUGGUAUAACAUUUGUCAUAGAGAUCAAACAUGACUGAAGGAGAAUUACGCGAAGAUGAAUACUCAAACCUCCUCACAAAUGAACUUGUGAGAUCAUGAUACUGGGGGCAUUUGUUAGCCUCAAAAUCCUCAAGACCGGCAUUGUGCAAAUAUGCUUUGAAUUCUUCUUUAAUUCCCGCACGGUCCAUAAAAUUUUCCGACGGCCAUUCGCAAGGCCGUACUGGAGCGUCUCUUGGUGGAUCCUCGUCAGCAUCGCGCAUAGCAAUCCUAGGUCCUUGCUUCUUAGAAUAACCACCUUGGAACAUCUUCCUAAGCAUAAUGUUUUUUCUCUGGAAAAUUCUGAAAUUUUUAGUAACUUCAAACAAAAGUGAACCAACUUCAAUAAAACUGAUAGAAACAUUCCUACAAGUGCUUAGAGCCUAUAUCAAGCAUUAGAACUACUUGGAACCAUAUAAAUUUGACAUGCAAGCUCAAGAACAUGGUCACCUAUGCAGCACAAAUUUGCAAAGAAUAGAGCACUAGAACAAAAACUAAUUGGACCAAUGGAGGAGUCACAUACCAAGGAACAAUCUCCCCAAGCAGUUUUGCGAGAGGUGCUUUGAGCAAGGAGAUCGAAAAUCACAGCAAAAGUGGCUGGAACUCGUGCUUGAGUUGGUUUUUCGGGUUUGUGUGAGACAGAGGAAGAAGAUGGGUGCUGGGAUAAGUGGAGGAGGGCCACCGUGGGCCCAUGAGGCAGGGGGCACGCCCUAGAGGGGGGGCGCGCCCACCACCCUCGUGGCCAAGUGGCAGCUCCUCCCGCGGUAAUUUUUGCACAGUAAAUCCUCAAAUAUUCCCGAAAAAAAUCAUAUUAAAUUGGCAUGUCAUUCUGAGGACUUUUAUUUUCAUGAUAUUUUUAUAUUGCACGGAUAAGUCAGGAAACAGACAGAAAAAUACUAUUUUUACUUUAUUUCUACUAAUUAACAGAAAAUAUAGAGAGGGUACAGAAGGUUGUGCUUCUAGUCGAUCCAUCUCAUGCUCAUCAAAAAGAAUCCACUAACAAGGUUGACCAAGUCUUGUUAACAAACUCAUUCCGAUAAUCAUGAAACCGGAGAAAUUUUGAAUAACACUAAGUUACCUCAACGGGGAUAUGCACAUCCCCUAUAAUAAGUGUAUCAUAUUUCUUUUUGACAGUAGGAAGAGGAAAUUCAAAACCUCCAAUUAUAAUCGAUGGAAUUUUUCCAAUGGAGUUGAUACUAUGCUUGAGGUUGUUUCCUCGGAAAGUGUACCAUAUGCUCAUUACCAUUAACAUGAAAAGUGACAUUGCCUUUGUUGCAAUCAAUAAGAGCCCCUGUAGUAUUAAGAAAAGGUCUUCCAAGAAUAAUAGACAUACUAUCAUCCUCGGGAAUAUCAAGUAUAACAAAGUCCGUUAAAAUAGUAACGUUUGCAACCACAACAGGCACAUCCUCACAAAUACCGACAUGUAUAGCAGUUGAUUUAUCAGCCAUUUGCAAAGAUAUUUCGGUAGGUGUCAGCUUAUUCAAGUCAAGUCUAUGAUAUAAAGAGAGAGGCAUAACACUAACACCGGCUCCAAGAUCACAUAAAGCAGUUUUAAUAUAAUUUCUUUUAAUGGAGCAAGGUAUAGUAGGUACUCUGGGGUCUCCAAGUUUCUUUGGUAUUCCACCCUUAAAAGUAUAAUUAGCAAGCAUGGUGGAAAUCUCAGCUUCCGGUAUCUUUUUUUUAUUAGUAAUGAUAUCCUUCAUAUAUUUAGCAUAAGGAUUUGUUUUGAGCACAUCAGUUAAUCGCAUACGCAAAAAGAUAGGCCUAAUCAUUUUAGCAAAGCGCUCAAAAUCCUCAUCAUCCUUUUUCUUGGAUGGUUUCGGAGGAAAAGGCAUGGGUUUCUGAACCCAAGGUUCCCUUUCUUUACCAUGUUUCCUAGCAACAAAGUCUCUUUUAUCAUAAUGUUGAUUCUUUGAUUGUGGGUUAUCAAGAUCAACAGCAGGUUCAAUUUCUACAUCAUUAUCAUUACUAGGUUGAGCAUUAUCAUGAACAUCACCAUUAAUAUUUUCAUUAGGUUCAUGUUCAUUACCAGAUUGUGUUUCAGCAUCAGACAUAGAGAUAUCAUUUGGAUUAUCAAGUGGUUCAGCAAUAGGUUCACUAGAAGUUUGCACAAUUCUAUCAUUUUUCUUCUUCUUCUUCUUUUUAUAAGAACUAAGAACAUCGAUAUUAUUUCUUUGAGAAUCUUGCUCGAUUCUCUUAGGGUGGCCUUCAGGAUACAAAGGUUCCUAAGUCAUUCUACCAGUUCUAGUAGCCACUCUAACAGCAUAAUCAUUUUUCUUACUAUUCAUUUCAUCAAGCACUUCUUUUUGAGCCUUAAGUACUUGUUCUACUUGAGUGGUAACCAUAGAAGCAUGUUUGCUAAUAAGUUUAAGUUCACCUUUAAUAUUAGCCAUAUAAUCACUCAAGCGUCUAAUCAUAUAAGCAUUUUCUUUUAAUUGUCUACCAAAAUAAGCAUUGAAGUCGUCUUGCUUAAACAUAAAGUUAUCAAACUCAUCCAAGCACUGACUAGCAAUUUUAGUAGGAGGAACUUCAGCUUUAUCAUAUCUAUAGAGAGAAUUUACCUUUACUACCUGUGUCGGGAUGUCGGGAUCAGGAGGUUCUUCGGUAAAUAAAGAAUUGAGAUCAUAUGUUUCUUCAAUAGGAGGUAUAUUAAGACCAUGUAUUUCUUCAAUAGGAGGUAAAUUCUUAACAUCUUCAGCUUUAAUACCUUUUUCUUUCAUAGAUUUCUUUGCCUCUUGCAUAUCUUCGGGGCUGAGGAAUAGAACACCUCUCUUCUUCGGAGUUGGUUUAGGAAUAGACUCAGUAAUUGGAGAAGGAGCUGGCUCAGGAGCUGGCUCAGGAGGUGCCCAAUUAUUUUCAUUUGUCAACAUAUUAUUCAAUAGAAUUUCAGCUUCAUCCGGUGUUCUUUCCCUGGAAAGAGAACCAGCACAACUAUCCAGGUAAUCUCUGGAAGCACCAGUUAGUCCAUUAUAAAAGAUAUCAAGUAUUUCCGGUUUCUUAAGAGGAUGAUCAGGCAAAGCAUUAAGUAACUUGAGAAGCCUCCUCCAAGCUUGUGGGAGACUCUCUUCUUUAAUUUGCACAAAGUUGUAUAUUUCCCUCAAAGCGGCUUGUUUCUUAUGAGCAUGGAAAUAUUUAGCAGAGAAGUAAUAAAUCAUAUCCUGGGGACUACGCGCACAACCAGGAUCAAGAGAAUUAAACCAUAUCUUAGCAUCACCCUUUAAUGAGAACGGAAAUAUUUUGAGUAUAUAAAAGUAACGCGAUCCCUCAUCAUUAGUAAACAGGGCGGCUAUAUCAUUUAACUUAGUAAGAUAUGCCACAACAGUUUCAGAUUCAUAGCCAUAAAACGGAUCAGAUUCAACCAAAGUAAUUAUAUCAGGAUCAACAGAGAAUUCAUAAUCCUUAUCAGGAACACAAAUAGGUGAAGUAGCAAAAGCAGGGUCGGGUUUCAUUUUAUCCCUAAGUGAUUCUUUGUUCCAUUUAACUAAUAACCUCUUAAGCUCAUAUCUAUCCCUGCAAGCUAAAAUAGCUAAAGAAGAUUCUUUAUCAAAAACAUAGCCCUCAGGAAUAACAGGAAUAUUUUCAUCAUCACUAUUAUCAUCGUAUUCAGAUUCAAUAAUUUCUUUUUCUCUAGCCCUAGCAAUUUGUUCAUCAAGAAAUUCACCAAGGGGCACAGUAGUAUCAGGCAUAGAAGCAGUUUCAUCAUAAGUAUCAUACAUAGCAGAAGUGGCAUCAUCAAUAACAUGCGACAUAUCGGAACAAAUAGCAGAAGCAGGUUUAGGUGUUGCUGGCCUACUCAUAACAGAAGGUGAAUCAAGUGCAGAGCUAGAUGGCAGUUCCUUACCUCCCCUCGUAGUUGAGGGAUAAAUUGUUGUAUUAGCGUCUUUCAAGUUCUUCAUAGUGUCCAGCAGAUAUAAAUCCCAAGUGACUCAAAGAAUAGAUCUAUGCUCCCCGGCAACGGCGCCAGAAAUUAGUCUUGAUAACCCACAAGUAUAGGGGGUCGCAACAGCUUUCGAGGGUAGAGUAUUCAACCCAAAUUUAUUGAUUCGACACAAGGGGAGCCAAAGAAUAUUCUCAAGUAUUAGCAUCUGAGUUGUCAAUUCAACCACACCUGGAAACUUAGUAUCUGCAGCAAAGUGUUUAGUAGCAAAGUAAUAUGAUAGUGGUGGUAGCGGCAACAAAAGUAAAGACAGCAAAAGUAAUGUUUUUGGUAUUUUGUAGUGAUUGUAACAGUAGCAACGGGAAAGUAAAUAAGCGAGAACCAGUAUAUGGAAAACUCGUAGGCACCGGAUCAGUGAUGGAUAAUUAUGCCGGAUGCGGUUCAUCAUGUAAUAGUCAUAACAUAGGAUGACACAGAACUAGCUCCAAUUCAUCAAUGUAAUGUAGGCAUGUAUUCCGAAUAUAGUCAUACGUGCUUAUGGAAAAGAACUUUCAUGACAUCUUUUGUCCUACCCUCCCGUGGCAGCAGGGUCCUAUUGGAAACUAAGGGAUAUUAAGGCCUCCUUUUAAUAGAGAACCGGAACAAAGCAUUAGCACAUAGUGAAUACAUGAACUCCUCAAACUAUGGUCAUCACCGGGAGUGGUCCUGAUUAUUGUCACUUCGGGGUUGCCGGAUCAUAACACAUAGUAGGUGACUAUAGACUUGCAAGAUAGGAUCAAGAACUCACAUAUAUUCAUGAAAACAUAAUAGGUUCGGAUCUAAAAUCAUGGAACUCGGGCCCUAGUGACAAGCAUUAAGCAUAGCAAAGUCAUAGCAACAUCAAUCUCAGAACAUAAUGGAUACUAGGGAUCAAACCCUAACAAAACUAACUCGAUUACAUGAUAAAUCUCAUCCAACCCAUCACCGUCCAGCAAGCCUACGAUGGAAUUACUCACGCACGGCGGAGAGCAUCAUGAAAUUGGUGCUGGAGGAUGGUUGAUGAUGACGACGGCGACGAAUCCCCCUCUCCGGAGCCCCGGACGGACUCCAGAUCAGCCCUCCCGAGAGGUUUUAGGGCUUGGCGGCGGCUCCGUAUCGUAAAACAUGAUGAUUUCUUCUCUCUGAUUUUUUUCUCUCCGAAAGCAAAUAUAUAGAGUUGGAGUUGGCGUCGGAGGGCAUCCAGGGGGCCCAUGAGGUAGGGGGCGCACCCCCCACCCUCGUGGACAGGGUGUGGGCCCCCUGGUCUUCAUCUUUGGCGAGGAUUUUUUAUUAUUUUUUCUAAGAUGUUCCGUGGAGUUUCAGGUCAUUCCGAGAAUAUUUGUUUUCUGCACAUAAAACAACACCAUGGCAAUUCUGCUGAAAACAGCGUCAGUCUGGGUUAGUUCCAUUCAAAUCAUACAAGUUAGAGUCCAAAACAAGGGCAAAAGUGUUUGGAAAAGUAGAUACGAUGGAGACGUAUCAUUGCCCAACAGUAAUUUGUUUACCCACCGUUUGUUAUUUUUCUCGAGAGAAGCCACUAGUGAAACCUACGGCCCCCGGGUCAUCUUUCUCAUAUAUUUGCCUUGCGAUCUAGUUUUCCUUUGCAUUUUUAUUCAGAUCCAUUGAACCAAAAAUCCAAAAAUACCUUGCUGCCAUUUAUUUUAUUUGGCAUUCGAUCUAUCAAUAUUUACAACUUUAUCUCCCAUUACUCGCCGUUACCCGAAAGGGAUUGACAACCCCUUUAACACGUGGGUUGCGAGGUGUUGUUAUUUGUGUGCAUGGGAUGUUUACGUUGUGUUGCUUGGUUCUCCUACUGGUUCGAUAACCUUGGUUUCAUAACUGAGGGAAAUACCUACCGUCGAUGUGCUACAUCAUCCCUCCCUCUCCAGGGAAAUACCGACAUAGUUCCAGCUACCAUCAGGCGCCUCCAAGAUACGUGGUUCCCUUUAUGGGUCGAACCUUUAUGACAACAUACGUGGUUCCCUUUGUCUGUCGGUAUGUUACUUGCCCGAGAUUCGAUCGUCGGUCUCUUUACUCGUUAUGUAAUACAUCAUCUUGUAACUAACUCCUUAGUCACUUUGCUUGAAGCUUCUUGUGAUGAUGUAUUACCGGGAGGGCCCAGAGAUACCUCUUCUAUACAUAGAGUGAAAAAUCCCAAUCUCGAUCCAUGCCAACUCAACAGACACCUUCGGAUAUAUCUGUAGAGCAUCUUUAUGAUCACCCAGUUACGUUGUGAAAUUUGAUAGCACACAAGGCAUUCCUCCGGUAUACGGGAGUUGCAUGAUCUCAUGGUUCAAGGAAUAUGUAUUUGACAUUAAGAAAGCAGUAGCAAUAAACUGAACAAUCAUAUGCUAAGCUAACAGAUGGGUCUUUUCCAUCACAUCAUUCUCCUAAUGAUGUGAUCCUGCUAUCAAGUGAAAAAACAUGUCUAUGGUUAGGAAACCUUAACCAUCUUUUGAUCAACGAGCUAGUCUAGUAGAGGCUCACUAGGGACACGGUAUUUGUUUAUGUAUCCACAUAUGUAUUUAAGUUUCCGGUCAAUACAAUUCUAGCAUGAAUAAUAAACCUUUAUCAUGAAUAAGGAAAUAUAAUAAUAACAAUUUUAUUUUUGCCUCUAGGGCAUAUUUCCAAGAUUCUCCCAUUUGCACUAGAGUCAAUAAUCUAGAUUACAUAGUAAAGAAUCAAACACCCAUGGAGUCUUGGUGCUGAUCAUGUUUUGCCCGCGGAAUAGGUUUAGUUAAUGGGUCUGCCACAUUCAGAUUCGUAUGUACUUUGCAAAUUUCUAUGUCUCCAUCCUUGACCUUUCCAUGAAUGGAGUUGAAGCGUCUCUUGAUGUGUUUGGUUCUCUUGUGAAACUUGGAUUCCUUCGCUAAGGCUAUUGCUCAAGUGUUCUCACAAAAUAUUGUCAUUGGACCCAAUGCACUGGGUAUUACAGCUAGAUCAGAUACGAACUCCUUCAUCCAGACUCCUUCAUGAGCUGCUUCCGAAGCAGCUAUGUACUUCGCUUCACACGUAGAUCCCACCACGACGCUUUGCUUGGAACUGCACCAACUGACAGCUCCACCAUUCAAUAUAAGUACGUAUCUGGUUUGGGACUUAGAGUCAUCCGGAUCUAUGUCGAAGCUAGCAUCGACAUAAACCUUUAUGACGAGCUCUUCGUCACCUCCAUAAACGAGAAACAUAUCCUUGGUCCUUUUCAAGUACUUCAGGAUAUUCUUGACCGUUGUCCAAUGAUCCACUCCUGGAUUACUUUGGUACCUCCCUGCCAAACUUAUGGCAAGGCACACAUCAGGUAUGGUACACAACAUGGAAUACAUAAUAGAACAUGUGGCUGAGGCAUAGGGAAUGACUUUCAUUUUCUCUCUAUCUUCUGUCGUGGUCAGACUUUGAGUCUGACUCAAUUUCACACGUUGCAACACAGGCAAGAACCCUUUCUUUGACUGUUCCAUUUUGAACUUCUUCAGAACUUUGUCAAGGUAUGUGCUUUGUGAAAGUCCUAUUAAGCGUCUCGAUCUAUCCCUAUAAAUCUUGAUUCCCAAUAUAUAAGCAGCUUCACCAAGGUCUUUCAUUGAAAAGUUCUUAUUCAAGUAUCCUUUUAUGCUAUCCAGAAAUUCUACAUCAUUUCCAAUCAAUAAUAUGUCAUCCACAUAUAAUCAAAAAUGCUACACAGCUCCCACUCACUUUCUUGUAAAUACAGCCUUCACCGUAAGUCUGUAUAAAACCAUAUGCUUUGAUCACAUCAUCAAAGCAUAUAUUCCAACUUCGAGAUGCUUGCACCAGUCCAAAAAUGGAUCGUCGGAGCUUGCACACUUUGUUAGCACCUUUAGGAUCAACAAAACCAUCUUGUUGCAUCAUAUACAACUCUUUUUUAAGAAACCUGUUAAGGAAUGCAGUUUUGACAUCUAUUUGCCAGAUUUCAUAAUCAUAAAAUGCAGCAAUUGCUAACAUGAUUCGGACAGACUUAAGCAUCGCUACGGGUGAGAAAGUCUCGUUGUAGUCAAUCCCUUAAAAUUGUUGAAAACCUUUCGCGAUAAGUCGAGCUUUAUAGACAGUGAUAUUACCAUCAGCGUAUGUCUUCUUAUUGAAGAUCCAUUUAUUCUCAAUGGCAUGCCGAUCAUCGGGCAAGUCCACCAAUGUCCACACUUUUUUCUCAUACGUGGAUCCUAUCUCAGAUUUCAUGGUCUCAAGCCAUUUGUCGGAAUCUGGGCUCAUCAUAGCUUCUUCAUAGUUCGUAGGUUCAUCGUUGUCUAACAACAUGACUUCCAGGACAGGAUUACCGUACCACUCUGGUGUGGUACGUGUUCUGGUCGACCUACGAGAUUCAGUAGUAACUUGAUCUGAAAUUUCAUGAUCAUCAACAUUAGCUUCCUCUCUAGUUGGUGUAGGCAUCAUGGUAACGGUUUUCUCUGAUGUGCUACUUUCCAAUUCGAGAGAAGGUACAGUUACCUCAUCAAGUUCUACUUUCCUCCCACUCACUUCUUUCGAGAGAAACUCCUUCUCUAGAAAUGACCCAUUCUUAGCAAUAAAGAUCUUGCCUUCGGAUCUGUGGUAGAAGGUGUACCCACACUACUAGGGAAAACCUUAUACACAGAACUUUAGCAGUAGCGCGGGUCAAAGAAGCACGCUGGUGCUAAGUAGCAGUAGCGCGCCUAUGCAAACCGCGCUGUAGAUAAAGUUUUAGCAGUAGUGUGUCUUGUUCUAAACACGUUACUACUAAAAUUCCCACGGCUUAGCCGAUAGGCUACACAUAGUAGUAGCGACCUAUAUCGAACCGUGCUACCGCUACUUUCUUUGUAGCAGCACGUUUUAUCUAAACUUGCUACUGCUAAAGGAUAUAAAAUUAAAUGGAAAGCACAUAGAAAGGUAAUUGAAAAUGAAAGAAAUAGAAUAAGGUGAAAGGAAAAAAUAAAAUGUGAAUAAAACUAAAGGAAAAAGGGGGAAAGAGAAAGGAGUAGCAGUAGUGUGUAUCCCAGAACGCGUUGUAGCUAACGUAGCAGUAGCGCGCUUUCUGGAACGCGCUACUGCUACUUCUGACUUAACGACGGGGUUCAUCCUUCCCCGCGGCCACUUCCCCCAAAUCCAGCUCUCCACUCUCGCCGCCACUGUCGCCCGUCGGCCGCCGCGCGCUCUCCGCACACCCUCUACGCCGCCCCCGACCCCAGAUUCAACGCCGCCCCGCCCCGACCGCAACGCCGCCCUCGACCCCGACCUCGACGCCGCCAUCCGCCAUGCGCCCGAGCCCCGACCCCGACCUCGACACCGCCUGCCCCUCCCUCAUUGCAGGCACCCGAGGUGAGCACGCCUGCUCCUCCCUCUCCCCUGCCUCUGCCUAGGGUUUCUUUAUAUUUUAGUUGCAUCAAAUUAGUUAGGGUUCAUGUAAGGGUGGAAACGAAUCGGAUGCGGAUGCGGCUCAAAUGAGUUAGGGUUCAUCUAAGGGUGGAAACGAAUCAAAUUUCUAAGAUGAAUCAUAAAACGAGUGAAAUUUGACCACUUAUUUCACUUUAUAGUUAGAUAAUUGGAAUAUCCGCUACCACUUUCCACCCCUAGCUUCAUCAAAUUAGAUGGUAAUUAGGGCAGUAGUUCCUAGGUACUAAUUAGUUAGUAAGAACUAGGUACUAAUUAGGUACUAGUUUAUUUUUAUUUAUAGUAAGUUUAUUUUUAAUAAGAACUAGUUGAAUUAAUAGAACUAGUUAAUAAGAACUUGUUGCUAUUUUUUAUUUAAAGCAAUUUUUCCUGCAUCGACGUGGACGAUGCCUAUCCCGCAUCCUCGUCGUCGAGUCGGCGGAGGACGACACCUGCUUGACCAGAUGGGCCAUGUCCGGGACUGGGCUCCGCCGGGGUGGUACUGGGAGGCGCUACCUAUCGGGGGGCGCAGGUUGGUGAGGAGCCAGCCUGUCAUUGACCCGAACCUUCUUUGGUGGCGGUCGCGUGGGCCAGUGAUGGUCCAGAGGCUCGAGGACCCCGCGGAGGUGGUGCGUCACCGUGUCAGUGAGGAGGGCGUGCACGUCCAUCGCUACUUGUUUGCGUUGGAGCACAGGUUCUCCAAUACCUGGCAGGUUCUCCAGGGAUCUCACUAGAGCUAUGACCCCGUGAUGGUUCCUUCUCUGUGGGUGUCCACCGCCCGCGCCGAUACCCGUAGUGUGCUAGGGUUUUAGUUGUAUUAGUGAUGUUAUAUGUAUGACACUAUUCGGGAUGUAUUAGUGAUAAUAUUCGACGAUGUAUUGAUGCAUGAGAUGAUUUACUUUUGCUUAUUGAAUGCAUGCUAAUUUGAGUCCUAUAAGAUAUUUUGAAAUGUAUAUCUUGUGUUGCUCAAAUAGGAUAUGUGCUUGCCCAAGUGGCCGGUCAUGUUUGCAGGUUACACCUCCGAGUGGCCUAUGUUUUGCCGGAGUGUUGAUUCAUUUCCGUUCCGGCAAAUUUCAGGCGCUCGAUAUGUCCUAUUUUAGAAAAGGACAUGCCGGAUUUUUCCAUGAAUUUUGGCAUGACUUGUUCCAGAAGAUGUAGGAAAUAUCGAGUGCCCCGGAUUUGUGUGUUGAAUAUCCUGGUAGUUGUCUUUGAUGGAUUUUCAAUUAAUGUUUUAACUAUGAAUAUAGGAAAUGUCUGAUGACGAAAAGGAUUUCGGUAUUUGCAAAUACUGCGAAGACGAGCGCGGCCUAUGCGACGGAAUCUUCCUAGAUGAUGAUAGGCGCUUCAGCAUCAAGCUGGACGAGAACUUCGAAGUGAAUAUAGUAAGUCACAACGACAAGUCUUCUUUCGUAAUUAAGCAUGACAUUUGCUUCAACUUAUAAUUUAAGCAUGACAAGUCUUUUUUUUACUAUUCUACUAGCGUAUCCCCUGCCAUGCAAGAGUUUUUGUAUUUGAUAAGAUAGGUUUCAGUCGUACUAUGGAGGACAAUAAAGUUUACUUGAAGACCGAGCAUGGUUAUAUUUUCCAUGCAAAAUUAUACAAUUCAGACGAGUACACCUAUUUUGGAUGCAAAACAUGGCGAGCACUAUGCAAGACUUAUGCAUUUGAGCCUGAUAUGGUUAUCACCUUUGAUAUUCGUCCGGAAGAUGAUAUUGAAGGUAAUUCCGACAUCUGGGUCGAUGUGCAGACACCUCUAGUUAUACCAUUAUGUAAGUUUCUCAACCAUAUUUAUGUCUUUGAUAUUGUUUAUUCAAAAAUAGUUGACAACUAAUUUGUAUUGUCAGCUUAUUUCGGUGCAAGCAAACAUGUCCAGCGCUUGGUAGACAGGACCUACUAUUGUCCCGAGGCUGAACUAAACUGCGAGGAGUUAAGUCAUUAUGUUUCAUGGCUUGAGGAUCUUGAUACUGUCAAGACAAAUUUUCUUCCUGCAUUUAGAAAUGUUAGUACUGAAAACGUGUAACCAAUAGUGUUUGUAAUGAACUACGGUCACAUCUAUUUAGGAAGGAUGGUAAGAUUUUUACUAUUUGUCCUCAGUGCAUCUUUUCCAUACAUUAUUUUUGAAGCUAAACUUCAUUGCUAAGUAUGUUACCAUACGAUGUUCUUCAACAGGGACUCCCGAUGAAUGUUGUGCCUUAUGGGAUCGAGACUAAAGGUACCAUGAGUAUUAUUAGCUUACGGCCAAGAUAUCCUACAUAUUACUUUAGUGCAUUCAAGAUUAGCGACGGAUGCUUAAUAGUGCAAGACUGGACCAAAUGUGUGAUGGAGAAGCGCAGAGAAGUACUAGGGGGCAGCAAACAGAUGCGCUACCCACGAUUAGGAGACGGGUUCAUCUGCAUGCUCCAACUUGAUCAAGGAGGAGAGCUACACAUGUUUUAUGUUAUUUUACCUAAGAGAGAGCAGCAGGAGUGAUUAGCUAGCUAGAAAUGAGUUUGAGGAUGAUGAUGUGCUACACUAUUACUAUGAUGCUAAAAUAGCUAGUGUUGGUGGUAAUGACUAUGAUGAUUAUUAUUAGCUAGUGUUAGUGGUGAUUAAAUAAAUACUUUUGGUGGUAAUGACUAUGAUGAUGAUUAAAUAGCUUGUGCUGGCGGAUUAGAUUCAAGUGGAAACAACAUGUGGUGCACAUCGAAAGUACUACUAGUCCAAACUGAUCAAGUUUGGAUUAGUAGUAUACUUUUGACAUGCACCACAUAUUGCCUCCACUUGUACCUAAUCCACCUUCAUUUGACACACUGUUAUGGACAUAAUGAUGUAAACCUCAUAAGUGGUAUUGUACCAAUAUUUGUACGAUGGCGCAUAAAUACACUAAAAAAAAGAAUACUAAUAGUGAUGGAGAGAAAACACGCUGCCAGUAGUUACAAUAGCAGUAGCGUGGGAGUGAACAAAUGCUGCAGCUAUUUGUCCUAGCAGUAGCGCGUGCGGGCAUGCGUUACUGCUAAGCAAUAGAUGUAGCGCCUUAUUAGUACCGUGCCUACCCGCGCUACUAGUGAGCACAAAACCAGCGCUACUGCUAGGGUUUUCCCUAGUAGUGCCAAUAGUUUAUUUAGGGUAUCCUAUGAAGGCGCGCUUCUCCAAUUUGGGUCCGAGCUUAUCAGGUUGAAUCCUUUUCACAUAAGGGUUGCAUCCCCAAACUUUAAGAAACGGCAGCUUGGGUUUCUUACCAAACCAUAGUUCAUAUGACGUCGUCUCAAUGGAUUUAUAUGGUACCCUAUUUUAACGUGAAUGUGCAUGUCUCUAAUGCAUAACCCCAAAAUGAUAAAGUCAAAUCGGUAAGAGACAUCAUAGAAUGCAUCGUAUCUAAUAAAGUACGGUUACAAUGUUCGGACACACCAUUACGCUGUGGUGUUCCAAGUGACGUGAGUAAUGAAACAAUUCCACAUUGUUUUAAACGAAGACCAAACUCGUAACUCAAAUAUUCACCUCCACUAUCAGAUCAUAGAACUUUAUUUUCAUGUUACGAUGAUUCUCUACUUCACUCUGAAAUUCUUUGAACUUUUCAAAUGUUUUAGACUUGUGUUUCAUCAAGUAGAUAUACCCAUACCUACUCAAAUCAUCUGUGAAGGUCAGAAAAUAACGAUAGCCACCGCGUGCCUCAACACUCACCGGACCGCAUACAUCGGUAUGUAUUAUUUCCAAUAAGUCAUUAGCUCGCUCCAUUGUUCCGAAGAACAGAGUUUUAGUCAUCUUAACCAUGGGGCAUGGUUCGCAACUAUCAGAUGAUUCAUAAUAAAGUGAUUCCAAAAGUCCACCCGCAUGGAGUUUCUUCAAGCGCUUUACACCAACAUGACCUAACGGCAGUGCCACAAGUAUGUUGCACUAUCAUUAUCAACUUUGCAUCUUUUGGCAUCAAUAUUAUGAAUAUGUAUAUCACUAUGAUCGAGAUUCAACAAGAAUAGACCAUUCAUCAAAGGUGCAUGACCAUAAAAGAUAUUACUCAUAUAAAUAGAAUAGCCAUUAUGCUCUGACUUAAAUGAAUAAUUGUCUCGCAUUAUACAAGAUCCAGAUAUAAUGUUCAUGCUCAACGCUGACACCAAAUAGCAAUUAUUGAGGUCUAAAACUAAUCCCGAAGGUAGAUAUAGAUAUAGCGUGCUGACGAUGGUCACAUCGACCUUGGAACCAUUCCCGACGCGCAUCGUCAGUUCGUCACCUUGUCCUUAGCCAAUCUUCAUUUAUUCCGCAGCUCAUGUUUCGAGUUACAAAUAUGAGCAAUCUAACCAGUAUCAAAUACCCAAGCGCUGCUACGAGCAUUAGUAAGGUACACAUCAAUAACAUGUAUAUCAAUAUACCUUUGUUCACUUUGCCAUCCUUCUUAUCCGCCAAGUAUUUGGGGCAGUUCUGCUUCCAGCGACCAUUCCCUUUGCAGUAGAAGCACUCAGUUUCAGGCUUGGGUCCAGUUUUGGGCUUCUUCACGGGAGCAGCAACUUGCUUGCCAUUCUUUUUGAAGUUCCCUUUCUUUCCCUUGCCCUUUUUCUUGAAACUAGUGGUCUUGUUAACCAUCAACACUUGAUGCUCCUUCCUGAUUUCUACCUCCGUGGCUUUAUGCAUUGUGAAGAGCUCGGGAAUCAUUUUCAUCAUCCCUUGCAUAUUAUAGUUCAUCAUGAAGCCUUUGUAGCUAGGUGGCAGUGACUGAAGAACUCUGUCGAUAACACUCUCAUCUGGAAGAUCAAUUCCCAGCUGAGUCAAGUGGUUAUGGUACCCAGACAUUUUGUGUAUGUGUUCACUGACAGAACUGUUCUCCUCCAUCUUAUAGCUAUAGAACUUGUUGGAGACUUCAUAUCUCUCAACCCGGGCAUUAGCUUGAAAUAUCAACUCUUGGAACAUCUCAUAUGCUCCAUGGCGUUCAAAACGUCUUUGAAGUCCCGGUUAUAAGCCGUAAAGCAUGGCACACUACACUAUUGAGUAAUCAUCAGAUCGAGCCUGCCAGAUGUUCAUAACAUCUAUAGUAGCUCCUGCAGCAGGUCUGUCACCUAGCGGUGCAUCAAGGACAUAAUUCUUCUGUGCUGCAAUGAGGAUAACCCUCAAGUUACCGACCCAGUCCUUGUAGUUGCUACCAUCAUCUUUCAACUUAGCUUUCUCUAUGAACGCAUUAAAAUUCAAGGGAAUGGUAGCACGGGCUAUUGAUCUACAACAUAGAUAUGCAAAAACUAUUAAGAAUAAGUUCAUGAUAAAUUUUAGUUCAAAUAAUGAAAUUACUAAUGAACUCCCACUUAAAUCAACAUCCCUCAAGUUGUCUAAGUGAUAGAUGAUCCAAAUCAACUAACCCUUGUCUGAUCAUCACAUGAGAUGGGGUAGUCUUCAAUGGUGAACAUCUCUAUGUUGAUCAUAUCUACUAUAUGACUCAGGUUCGACCUUUCGAUCUCUAGUGUUCCGAGACCAUGUCUGUACAUUCUAGGCUCGUCAAGUUUAACCCAAGUAUUUUGCAUGAGCAAAACUGGCUUACACCCGUUGUAUGUGAACAUAGAGUCUAUCACAACCGAUCAUCACGAGGUGCUUCAAAACGACGAACUUUGGCAACGGUGCAUACUCAAGGAGAACACUUUUAUCUUAAAAUAAAGUGAAGGGACCAUCUUAUAAUGCUACCAUCGUUCUAAGCAAAAUAAGAUGCAUAAAGGAUAAACAUCAGAUGCAAUCAAAAUAUGUGACAUGAUAUGGCCAUCACCAUCUUGUGCUUUUGAUCUCCAUCUCCUACGCAUGGGCAUGAUCUCCAUUGUCACUGGCACGACACCUUGAUCUCCAUCGUAGAGUCGAGGUCAUCUCACCAACUAUUGCUAACGCAUAGCGAUAAAGUAAAGCAAUUACAUGGCGCUUAGUGAUUGACACAUAGGUCAUACAAUAAUUAAAGACAACCCUAAGGCUCCUAACGGUUGUCGUACUCAUCGACAUGCAAGUCAUGAACUUAUUACAAAACAUGAUCAUCUCAUACAUCAACAUAUAUCACAUCAUAUCUUGACCAUGUCACAUCACAACAUGCCCUGCAAAAACAAGUUAGACGCCCUCUACUUUGUUGUUGCAAGUUUUACGUGGCUGCUAUGGGGAACUAGCAAGAACCGUUCUUACCUACGCAAAACCACAAUGGUGAUUAUCAAGUUUGUUAUUUUAACCUUCUAUAAGUACCGGCCAUAGUCAAAUUUGAUUCAACUAAAGUCAGAGAAACAAACACCUGCCAGCCACCUUUAUGCAAAACAAGUUGCAUGUCAGUCGGUGGAACCAUCUCAUGUGUGUGGAUAUGUAAGGUUGGUCCGGGACGCUUCACCCCACAACGCCGCCGAAUCAAAAUAAUAUGUUGGUGGUAAGAAGUAUGACCAUCACCGCCCACAUUUCCUUUCUGUUCUACUCGUGCAUAUCAUCUACGCAUAGACCUGGCUCAUGAUGCCAUUGUUGGGGAACAUUGCAUGGAACACAAAAAAAUUUAUAUGCACACGCAAUAUCUAUCCAUGGAGAUUCAAAGCUAUGAAGAGGGGGAGAGCAUCUACAUACCCUUGUAGAUCGCUAAGCGGAAGCAUUUAUCAAUGCGGUUGAUGUAGUCGUACACCUUCAUGAUCCGUCCCGAUCAAGUACUGAACGUAUGGCACCUCCGCGCUCAACACAUGUUCAGCUUGAUGACGUCCUUGCCUUCUCGAUCCAGCAAGAGAGGCGAAGUAGUAGAUGAGUUCCAGCAGCAUGACGGCAUGGUGAUGGAGGUGGUGAAACUAUCUGCAGGGCUUCGCCAAGCACAAUGGACGUGGACAGAGGAGUAACUAGAACUAGAGGGAGAUGGGGCANNNNNNNNNNNNNNNNNNNNNNNNNNNNNNNNNNNNNNNNNNNNNNNNNNNNNNNNNNNNNNNNNNNNNNNNNNNNNNNNNNNNNNNNNNNNNNNNNNNNNNNNNNNNNNNNNNNNNNNNNNNNNNNNNNNNNNNNNNNNNNNNNNNNNNNNNNNNNNNNNNNNNNNNNNNNNNNNNNNNNNNNNNNNNNNNNNNNNNNNNNNNNNNNNNNNNNNNNNNNNNNNNNNNNNNNNNNNNNNNNNNNNNNNNNNNNNNNNNNNNNNNNNNNNNNNNNNNNNNNNNNNNNNNNNNNNNNNNNNNNNNNNNNNNNNNNNNNNNNNNNNNNNNNNNNNNNNNNNNNNNNNNNNNNNNNNNNNNNNNNNNNNNNNNNNNNNNNNNNNNNNNNNNNNNNNNNNNNNNNNNNNNNNNNNNNNNNNNNNNNNNNNNNNNNNNNNNNNNNNNNNNNNNNNNNNNNNNNNNNNNNNNNNNNNCGGGAGGGGCUAGCCCUCCCCUCCUUUCCUUCCCUAGGGUCGGCGGCCUAGAGGUGGGGCGCACCAGCCCCUUAUGGGCUGGUGUGCUUCCCUCGUUAGCCCAAUAACUCCCCGUGGCCUUCCCGGAACACCUUCAGGUGAUCCGAUAAAUACUCGGUGCAUUCUGAAACCUUUCCGGUGACCAAAUAGUAUCGUCCUAUAUAUUGAUCUUUACCUCCGGGCCAUCCCGGAGCUCCUCGUCAUGUUUGUGAUCUCGUUCGGGACUCCGAACAACAUUCGGUCUCUAUUUCACAUAACUCAUAUAAUACUAUAUCGUCAAUGAACGUCAGGCGUGCAGACCCUACGGGUUUGAGAAUGAUGUAGACAUGACCGAGAUGCUUCUCUGGUCAAUAACCAAUAGCAGGACCUAGAUGUUCAUAUUGGUUCCUACAUAUCCUACAAAGAUAUUUAUCGGUCGAACCUUUAUGACAACAUACAUUGUUCCCUUUGUCUGUCAGUAUGUUACUUGCCCGAGAUUCGGUUGUCGGUAUCUCCAUACCUAGUUCAAUCUCAUUACUGACAAGUCUCCUUACUCAUUCCAUAAUACAUCAUCUUGUAACUAACUCCUUAGUCACUUUGCUUCCAAGCUUCUUGUGAUGAUGUAUUACCGAGAGGGCCUAGAGACACCUCUCCGAUACACAUAGUGGUUAUUUAGCAAUUUCAUCAAAACUCCUUUAAUGUUUUGAUUUUCCAUAAGUAUGGUUUGAUGAUCAAAAGGUUCUGCACUAGUGGCGGGAACAUCAUUUACUUUGUCAAAUUCAAACAUGAUUGCAACUUCAAGCAAACAAACUAGCAAAGUAAUUUUUGUGUUUUUGAUAUUUUUGUAAUGAGAUUAAUAAAAGAAAAUAAAGAAAAUAAGAGCAAGUAAAUGAUGAUUUGAGUGUAGGUACUUGUAGGUUUUGGAUGAUGUCUCCCUGGCAACGACGCCAGAAAUUCUUUCUGCUACUUGUGAGCUACGUUGGGUUUUUCCCCGAAGAGGAAGGGUGAAGUAAUAUAGUAGCUGAUAAGUAUUUCCAUCGGUGAGAACCAUGUUUAUCAUACCGAUGGGAGAAUCACACCAAGCCUAGUGAACACUACCUACACGCACAAGAGCAAAUACUUGCACCCAAUGCGGGUAAGAGGGUUGUCAAUCGCUUGAACUCGUUACUUGCAAGGAUUAAAUCUGGUAUGGUAGAUAUAUAAAUUCCAAAACAAAAUAAAAAUAAGUAAAUUGCAGCAAUGUAUUUUUGGUUUUCAUAAUAUGAUAAAAGUAGACCCCGGGGCCAUAGUUUUCACUAGAGGCUUCUAUCUUGAAACAUAGCAUACGGUGGGAGAGCAAAUUACUGUUGGGCAAUUGAUAGAAAAUUGCAUAGUUAUGAUGUUAUUCACAACAAUGAUCAUGUAUAUAGGCAUUACGUCCAUGACAAGUAGUGAUAGGGGCUAAGGUGUCCCGAUGUUUCGAUGAGAUAGUGGCUAUCGUUUUCUGUGGGAGUCGACCUUGACGAUCCGACUACGAACGUGCGAGACGUCGCGCCUUGGCAAUCACUAAACCAACUUCCGAGGGUUAUUGACCACGCCGGAGCACGAUCAACCUGACCACGAGGGUCUGUUUCCUGCGAGCAAAGGAAGAACAAGCAAGAAACUGAGAUCGCAAUCGGGAUAUUGCGAAUAUAGGAUGAAAGCUUUAUUGAUCAAGGCGGGGUUCUGUGACGUCUUGGUCUGGUCGUUGGACACAAACGAAGUACGCGAAGUUGCAGCUAUGGCGAACUUUUAAUCUAAACAAAACCCAAAGUCUAAACGACGCCCUAAGGGCUGUAUAUAUGGAGGAAGAGGGGGGAAUUUCGUGGCCCUUGAGGGUGGGGUCCGAAACCAACCCUAACUCUUGUUUCCCCACACAUACGGACUCUAAAAAUAGCCUAUACUUAAGUAUUUCGAAAUUACAUGGGCCUGGCCCAUUAAUAAGGUGACGCAGCACCUAGAAUAGCCUAUGGAUGAAUAUUAUGAAGUGGCAUCUUGUAUAUUUCGUCCAAGGCUUCAUGCACUCCUUAUGGCGGCUUUAAAGUCCUGAAAUCAUCACUUGUAACUCCGUUCUUGAUCCCCUUGCGCAUGCCAUCAACUCCAUGUGUGUUCUUGCUCCAAUGUUCAUCCUUCUCCAAGCUAGGCCCUUCAUUUGUAAGCAAAACAAAUGUAUCCAAUUUAGGCAGCAUCAUAAUCUCAUAAACAUUAGAAUCAUUACCAAGAAACGAAAGUACCUGGUAAUUUAAUUGGCGUGCGUGAGCUCUAGUAAUUGGUCCAGUAUAUGUAACAGUAGGGGCUGUGGGUGUAACAAUGGUAUUGAUGUCCUCAUCAUCCUCCCCUUCUUGAAAUGAAGUCAUCCUCGAUGGAAGCGCAUCUUCCUCACCCAAAUAAGGCUUCAAAUCUGCAAUGUUAAAAGUGGGACUAACCCCAAAAUCUACAGGUAGCUCAAGUUUAUAUGCAUUAUCAUUUAUUUUCUCUAACACCUUAAAAGGACCAUCAGCACGUGGCAUUAGCUUUGAUUUGCGCAGAUUAGGAAAUCUAUCUUUACGCAAAUGUAACCAAACAAGAUCUGCAGGCGCAAACACAACAUGUUUUCUACCCUUAUCUCCAACAAGUUUAUAUUUAGCAUUCAUACGCUCAAUGUUUUCCUUGGUUAACUCAUGCAUUUUUAAAAUCAAUUCAGAACGUUCUUUAGCAUCAAAAUUAACCUUCUCUGAAGAUGGAAGAGGCAACAAAUCAAUAGGUGCACGAGGUAGGAAACCAUACACAAUUUCAAAAGGUCACAUCUUAGUAGUAGAAUGCAAUGAACGAUUAUAAGCAGAUUCAAUAUGAGGCAAGCAUUCUUCCCACAUUUUCUUGUUAUUCUUCAAAACAGCCCUAAGCAUAGUAGACAAUGUUCUAUUGACUACCUCAGUUUGUCCAUCAGUUUGGGGGUGACAAGUAGUACUAAAAAGCAGCUUAGUCCCCAACUUAGCCCAUAAACAUCUCCAAAAGUGGCUAAAAAAUUUAGUAUCAUGAUCUGAAACAAUAGUAUUUGGCACACCAUGUAAGCGAAUAAUUUCACGAAAGAACAAAUCAGCAACAUUAACAGCAUCAUCACUUUUAUGACAUGGUAUAAAGUGUGCCAUUUUCGAGAACCUAUCCACGACAACAAAUAUGCUAUCCCUCCCCUUCUUUGUUCGAGGUAAACCUAAAACAAAGUCCAUAGAUAUAUCCUCCCAAGGAACACUAGGUGCAGGCAAAGGCAUAUAUAAACCAUGAGGAUUGAGUCGUGACUUAGCUCUUUGACAUGUAGUGCAGCGAGCAACAAAACGCUCAACAUCCCGUCUCAUCUUUGGCCAAAAGAAAUGUGUAGCAAGUAUAUCCUCUGUCUUCUUGACGCCAAAGUGUCCCAUUAAUCCUCCUCCAUGCGCCUCCUGCAACAACAAAAUAUGAACGGAGCUAGCUGGAAUGCAUAGCUUGUUAGCACGAUACACAAAUCCAUCGUUAAGAAUGAACUUGUUCCAAGUUCUCCCUUCCUUACAAUUCUGCAAUACAUCUUUAAAUUCAGCAUCAUGAACAUAUUGAUCUUUGAUGGUCUCCAAACCAAAUAUUUUAAAGUCAAGUUGUGAAAGCAUAGUAUAACGACGAGACAAGGCAUCAGCAAUAACAUUUUCUUUACCCUUCUUGUGUUUAAUGACAUAAGGGAAAGUCUCAAUGAAUUCAACCCAUUUAGCAUGUCUAGGGUUCAGUUUUGCUUGACUUUUAAUGUGUUUCAAAGAUUCAUGAUCAGAAUGUAUAACAAAUUCCUUGGGCCAUAAAUAAUGUUGCCAUGUUUCUAAGGUCCGAACAAGAGCAUAUAAUUCUUUAUCAUAAGUAGAAUAGUUCAGACUAGGCCCACUCAAUUUUUCAGAAAAGUAUGCAACAGGUUUUCCAUCUUGUAAUAACACACCUCCUAAUCCAAUUCCACUAGCAUCACAUCAAGCUCAAAAGUCUUAUUGAAAUUAGGAAGUUGGAGUAAAGGAGCAUGUGUCAACUUAUCUUUCAAUACCGUGAAGGCUUCUUCCUGUGCGGUAUCCCAAACAAAAGGCACAUCCUUCUUUGUAAGCUCGUUGAGAGGUGCAGCAAUGGUGCUGAAAUCUCUCACAAAACGCCUAUAGAAACCAGCGAGGCCAAGGAAACUCCUCACUUGUGUGACCGUUUUGGGCUGCGGCCAACUCUCAAUAGCUUCAAUCUUGGCUUUAUCAACUUCAAUUCCCUGUGGAGUAACAACAUAGCCAAGAAAAGAUACUCGGUCGGUGCAAAAGGUGCACUUUCCAAGGUUUCCAAACAAACGUGCAUCACGUAGAGCAAUAAAAACAGCACGUAAAUGUUCCAAAUGUUCCUCCAAAGAUUUGCUAUAAAUCAAUAUGUCAUCAAAGUAAACUACCACAAAUCGUCCAAUGAAAGCACGUAAAACUUCGUUCAUUAACCUCAUGAAAGUACUAGGUGCAUUAGUUAACCCAAAAGGCAUGACUAACCACUCAUAUAAUCCAAACUUAGUUUUAAAUGUUGUUUUCCAUUCAUCUCCCAAUUCCAUACGAAUUUGAUGGUAUCCACUACGCAAAUCAACUUUGGAGAAUAUUGUAGAGCCACUCAAUUCAUCAAGCAUAUCAUCUAGCCUAGGAAUAGGAUGACGAUAACGAAUAGUAAUAUUAUUAAUGCCUCUACAAUCAACGCACAUACACGACGUACCAUCCUUUUUCGGCAAUAAAAUGAUAGGAACAGCACAAGGACUAAGGGAUUCGCGUAUAUAACCUUUGUCGAGCAGUUCUUGUACUUGACGCAUAAUCUCCUUCGUCUCCUCUGGAUUGGUACGGCAUGGUACACGGUUGGGUAGCGAAGCACCGAGAAUUAAGUCAAUUUGAUGCUCAAUCCCUCGAAUAGGUGGUAAUCCCGGUGGCACGUCUUGUGGAAAGACGUCAGCGAACUCCUGCAAAAUGUUAGUGACAGCAGGGGGCAAAGAGGAAGGCACGUCCUCGAAUGAAAAUAAUACCUCUUUGCACACAAAAGCAUAGCAAACAGAUUUGCUAAACUCUAGCUCAUCAAUAUCAGAUUUGGUGGCAAGUAAACAUGCACUUUUCAAUUUAAUUUCAGAAACAACAGUAGGUGGUUUAUUAUUAGGCUUCAUUUGGUGCUCAAAUUCUUUUGACACAAUCUGAUUUUCACUCUUAUUUGUCUCCUGUUUUGCUUUAUUAGCUCUAUUAAUAUCAUCUUUCAAAAUGGAAUCAGGAGUCAUAGGAAGCAAAGUAAUAUUUUUAUCGUUAUGAACAAGAGUAUACUGAUUGUUUCUACCAUGGUGUACAGAAUUUUUAUCAAAUUGCCAUGGUCUACCAAGUAAUAAGGAACAUGCUUGCAUAGGUACCACAUCACAAUCAACAUAAUCAGCAUAUGUAGAGGUACUAAAAUGCACACGAACAGUACGUGUUACCUUAACCUUGCCGUUGUUGUUGAACCAUUGGAUGUAGUAAGGAUGUGGAUGUGGUCUUGUGGUGAGAGAUAGCUUCUCCACCAUCUCCAUGCUAGCCAAGUUAUUGCAGCUCCCUCCAUCUAUGAUCACGCGAACAGAACGUUCCUUCACAACUCCCUUUGUAUGGAACAAAUUAUGCCUCUGAUUUUGCUCAGCUUGUGUAACCUGCACACUCAAAACACGUUGAGCAACUAAACAUUCGUACCUGUCAGCAUCUUCAGGAAUCAUGUAUUGUGUCUCAUGAUCAGAAUCGUCUCCACCGUGUUCGUCACGUGUAAUAAGAGUCAAAGUCUCCUCAUCAUAGUCACUAGCGGACUCAUACCCACCAUCCUCAGUAACAAUCAUCACACGCUUAGAUGGGCAUUCUCUCGCAUAAUGACCUCCACCCUUGCAACGUCGACAAAUAAUAUCAUGUGUUUGCCCUGUUGAUGCCAUGGAUGAAGAAGAGCUCUUUGCAGGCCCAGAAGGUGUGCUCUUGGCAGAUAGUGGUGAUUGUGCCUGCUUUAUUGUAUCACGGUUGGAGGUGGCAGCCGACGGAGGCGCCGGUGUAGCAGAACGUGUGGAAGUAGAUGAUGCACGUGGUGUCCAUGAUGAAGGUCGACCUGCAGAAAAGUUAGUCCGCGCCAAUGCCUGUCGAUCCUGCACUUCACGUUCAGCUUUACAAGCAAGAUGGAAUAAACGAGUGAUAUUAGUAUACUCCUUAUACUCUAGAAUCGUCUGAAUCUCUCUAUUUAAUCCACCCAUAAAACGUGCAAGCAUAGCUUCAUUCUCCUCAACAAUACCACAUCUAAUCAUGCCAGUUUGUAAUUCCUGAUAAUAUUCUUCUACAGAAUUUUUUCCCUGUCUUAAGCGCUGCAAUUUUUGAAGUAAUUCACGUUGAUAAUAUGGUGAAACCCAACGAGUACGCAUAGCAGUUUUCAAAGCAGCCCAAGUAGCCGGAAUAGGAUAUAAUCUACAAUGCUCAGACCACCAAACACAUGCAAAACUAGUGAAUGCACAAACAGCAGCAGGAACACGUCUCUCCUCGGGAUAUUGUAAACAUGUAAAUCGUUGUUCAGUUUCUAACUCCCAAGUAAGAUAUAUAUCAGGAACAUAUCUACCCUCAAAUGGUGGAAUAUUCAAUUUUAGUUUAGGGAAAUGGUCAUGAUCUCGUACCUGAGGGUGAGCCCUACCAUUGCCAUUAUUUGCAUGUGGACGACCUGGUGGUUGUUGUGCUGGCGGUGGCACGUAGUUCUGAUUUUGAUCAACCUCAUCCUCAUAAUCUCCCACAUAAUCAUCCUCCUGCACAUCAGCAGUAGGAGCCACAGAAGUAUCAACAGCAGCACCAGCAGUUUGGCCCGACUGAAGAGGGACACGGCUCGCUCGGCGGAGGGCUGUUUCCCGACGUGGAGGUAGUCGGUGUUGUUGCUGUUGUUGCAGAGGUGCGGCAGGAGCAGCCGGUGGUGGUGGUGGAAAACGCGAAAGCAAUUCAGCAAACUUGUUAUCGAGCUUUGUUUCAAACGUCUUCUCCAUGCCAUCUAUCUUCUCCAUGGCCUCUUCAAAUCUUUUUAUCACAUCUUGCGCCUAUCCACUCAUCAUUUGCUGCAUGGGUAUAUGUGUAAAGGGCCAUAUCAGUGGACUGAGCUGCAUAUCAUGAAGCUCCUUGUUCGUCAAGUUCUCCCAGUCAGUCUCGUCGGCUUGUGAUCCUGGCAUGGUUAGCAUCAAUAGAAACACACAAGAAUAUGAUCCUACAGACUACUAACAAGUGGUGGUGGUGGCGGGUGUCACAAAUCCGUCAAGCAAAUCUCAAAUUCUUACCAGUUCUUACCCAGCAGCAGGCGGUGAUUGGCAACCGUUAUAGUCAAAACUCGCAAAAGCUUGGAUAGAGCGGUUGCCAGGGAGAGUCAAAUGCACGACAUAGAUGUAUGUGGAGCUGGGAAGGCUUAUAGUAUGGUAGCAAAAAGGGUCAGCAAUAAUCAAUUCAGAGAUGCAAAGUUGAAUAAACGCUCAACGACGGUACUGUGCUGGUCCUAGGCUAGACCGUGCUAGAGACGCGAGCCUAGAACACUAACAAAAUCACGGCGCUGCACGUAAAUAAGGGAAAAGCACACUCUGGAACUCUUUUUUUUGCGCUCCUUUUUUUUGCGCUCCUCUUUUUUUUGCGAAAAAUCACUAUAAUGGCGAGUGUCUCAAAACUCUUCCCUCGUCAAACUGAUAGGAUGGGCACGAAAUUUUUUUUCACUUUUUUUUAGAAAUCAGGGCAGCGACGACGAAAAAGUGCGACAGAAAAUCACUAUGAUGGCACGUGGCUCAAAAGACUCAGAAAAGCCUAAAAUAGGAUAGGGAAAAAAAAUUUGCCCGUGAAAAUUUUGGCCUAAAAACUGCCCGGGGGUCUCCAGACUCUUUUUUUUUUGAGACCUACGCAGGCAAGGAAACACGAAUCGGAAUUUAGAUUGAUCUCAAGAACAAACCUAAUAUGAGAAGAACUCGGAUUGGUGGUGGAUAUAUGGUUGUUGUAUAUGGCAGCGGUGGUGGUAUAUGGUAGCGGUGGUGGUAUAUGGAUACAGAUUGGUGGUGGUAUAUGGAUACGGAUUGGUGGUGGUAUAUGGAUAUGGAUUCAGAGCGGUGGCGGAUAAGCAAAAGUGAUAGAUGGGCGAUGAUGAUGGUGCGGCGGCGGCGUGACAACUUAUGACCAGAACUCGAAACUCUAAAAGACUAGACUCUAAGACCAGCAACUUGACACGACGAUGCAACCGCAAAUUCAACAAAGCAAAAACCCUAAAAAGAUUAUGCAAAGGCUCAGAUUGGUUCGGAUAUGAUGAACUAACCCUAAUUUUUUUUGUGGCUUUUUCGUGGACUGUAGGUAUGAAGAACAGACUCGAUCUAAUCUACGAAAAAUUGUAAAAUCUCACCGAGCAACCUGGAAUCUGAUACCACUUGAUAGGGGCUAAGGUGUCCCGAUGUUUCGAUGAGAUGGUGGCUAUCGUUUUCUGUGGGAGUCGACCUUGACGAUCCGACUACGAACGUGCGAGACGUCGCGCCUUGGCAAUCGCUAAACCAACUUUCGAGGGUUAUUGACCACGCCGGAGCACGAUCAACCUGACCACGAGGGUCUGUUUCCUGCGAGCAAACGAAGAACAAGCAAGAAACUGAGAUUGCAAUCGGGAUAUUGCGAAUAUAGGAUGAAAGCUUUAUUGAUCAAGGCGGGGUUCUGUGACGUCUUGGUCUGGUCGUUGGACACAAACAAAGUACGCGAAGUUGCAGCUAUGGCGAACUUUUAAUCUAAACAAAACCCAAAGUCUAAACGACGCCCUAAGGGCUGUAUAUAUGGAGGAAGAGGGGGGAAUUUCGUGGCCCUUGAGGGUGGGGUCCGAAACCAACCCUAACUCUUGUUUCCCCACACAUACGGACUCUAAAAAUAGCCUAUACUUAAGUAUUUCGAAAUUACAUGGGCCUGGCCCAUUAAUAAGGUGACGCAGCACCUAGAAUAGCCUAUGGACGAAUAUUAUGAAGUGGCAUCUUGUAUAUUUCAUCCAAGGCUUCAUGCACUCCUUAUGGCGGCUUUAAAGUCCUGAAAUCAUCACUUGUAACUCCGUUCUUGAUCCCCUUGCGCAUGCCAUCAACUCCAUGUGUGUUCUUGCUCCAAUGUUCAUCCUUCUCCAAGCUAGGCCCUUCAUUUGUAAGCAAAACAAAUGUAUCCAAUUUAGGCAGCAUCAUAAUCUCAUGAACAUUAGAAUCAUUACCAAGAAAUGAAAGUACCUGGUAAUUUAAUUGGCGUGCGCGAGCUCUAGUAAUUGGUCCAGUAUAUGUAACAGUAGGGGUUGUGGGUGUAACAAUGGUAUUGAUGUCCUCAUCAAGUAGACCGAAACAAUUUUGCAUCUACUACUAUCACUCCACCAAUCGACCGCUCUCCAGCAUGCAUCUAUGUUAUUAAGUUCAUAACAAACAGAGUAAUGCAUGAAGAAAGAUGACAUAAUGUAGGCAGAAUAAACUCAAGCAAUAUGAAUGAACCCCGUUGUUUUACCCUUAAUGGCAACAAUAAAAAUACAUGCCACGCUACCCCUUCUGUCACAAGGUGUGGACACCAUAAGAUUGAACCCAUUACAAAGCACCUCUGCCACUAAAGUUAAAUCAAUCUAGUUGGCCAUACCAAAUGGAUAGAUCAGAGAGAAAUACAAAGCUAUAACAAUCAUGCAUAAUAAAGUACAGCAAAGACUCAAUUACUUUCAACGAAUAAUCUGAUCGUAAACACACAAUUCAUCGGAUCCCAACAAACACACCGCAAAAGAAGAUUACAUUGGAUAGAACUCCAUGGAGAUCAUGGAGAAGAGAGAGAGAAGAAGCCAUCUAACUACUAGCUAUGGACCCGUAGGUCUGUGGUAAACUACUCACACAUCAUUGGAGGGCAGCAAUGUUGAUGUAGAAGCCCUCCAUGAUUGAUUACCCCUCCAGUAGAGUACCAGAAAAGGCCUUUAGAUGGGAUCACAAAAGAACAGAAGUUUGGGGCGGUGGAAAAAGUGUUUCGGGUGGCUCUCUGUUGGUUUCAGGGUUUAUGGGAAAUUAUGGAGUUCGAAUUUGGUUAAUCGGAGCUCUGUGGGUCCCACAAGGUCAGGUGGUGCGCCUGGUGAGCUUGUGGCGCUCCUGUAGCUCCCCUAGUCUCCUCCGGAGGCUCCAAGGGUCCCUUCUAGUCCAAACAAAAUUAUCAUAAAGUUUUAUCGUGUUUGGACUUUGUUUGAUGUUGAUUUCCUGAAAAAGUAAAAAAAAUGCAGAAAACAGGAACUGGCACUGGGCAUUGAGUUAAUAGGUUAGUUCCUCAAAAGGAUGUAAAAUUGCAUAUAAAGUAUCUAAAAUUUAUAAUAUAAUAGCAUCAAACAAUCAAAAAUUAUAGAUACAUUGCAGACGUAUCACAACGUAUCACAGAUCUAUCUAUACUAUCAAAGGGGAGGAUGUGGCCUUGAUGAUAUGUCGUGGUUUGGUUUGGUUUCGUAUGUUUGUCGGUUUCACAUCAAUAAUGGAGAGUAUAAUUCUUUGAAUGAGAGGAUCACUUUAAUUAUGGAGAGUAUCAUUAUUUCAACAUAAUGGUCACGUUAAUUAUGAAUUGAACGGGAAAUCGCAUUAAUUAUGAAAAGUAUCAUUUCGUGUUGGACGAAGGAUCACUAUAACAUGUAUGUUCUCCUUGCAAUGCGGGGGAAAUUAGCUAGUCAAUUUCAAAAGGGCAAACAACAUCCACCAACAACGAGUAGCUCUGGUAAUCCUUCCAUUCGUGCAGUCGCAUAAGUGAUUCAGGAGAGGGAAAAUGAUCAAACUAUCAAGUACAUUGGGGUGAAAAUUCGAAUAUGCCUAUCUGGUCUCUUUCAUGUGUGUUCUAUCCUAUUUGUAUAAGACAGCACAGAUGUACAUGUGUUUGUGCAGGCGCUACGCAACAAGGAGCUAGAGAUACUAGGUGGACGGGAAGCAGUUGCGGCGUGCAUGAGCUGCAUUAUCAGGCGGUGGCGAGCAACAACAACCACCAACAACAUGGAUGAGCAACCCUGGUAAUCCUUCCGUCCAUGCAGUCCCAUAAGUGAUUCUUCUGAUUACGGUAUUGAAUUAAGGGAAUAGAGGAUGAGAGGUACUUAGAUAAACCUUUUUUGGACCCUGAUAAGUGACGUACAUGUGGAAUGAACACAUGGCAACUCCGAAUAUUUUUAUGGCAAGUUUAGUGAUGCAAGUAUGACAACUUUAGUUGUCAAGCAUGACAACUUCCUUUUCGGAUGACAAGUUUUUUGGGGGGGUUAUUUUUUCUUUUCAGAUGGCAAAAUUAGUUGUAAAAAGGUCAUGCCUGGAGUGCUUCGUGCCACACGCAUGGCACUUAUCAUUUUCUUUUUACCAUUUAUCCUCAAAAGAACACAAAAGAAAAGAAUUCAAAUUAAUUCUCAAAAGAGAAAAGGUCAAAGUUGAUAUGUACGAUAGGGAAAGUGGUCUCUUACCAUGUAAGAGAGGGAAAAUUAUCAAACUAUCAAGUAACUUGGGUGAAAGUUCAAAUGCCCCUAUUUGGUCUCUCUCAUGUGUGUCCUGCCCUAUUAUCCUACCAGAAAUUGUUCUAUGUAAAACAUUUAAGAACAUUUUUUUAAAGAUAUAAUGGUUGCCUCAAGAUUUUAAGUAGUGCAAACGGGGAUAAGUCACCCUUUUAUUUAUUUUCCUUUCUCAAUUGAGUUGUAAUAAUAAAUAACUAUAUAGUGCAAGGUGCAAUACAACGCGACUGUACGCAUGUUAAGGCUAUGGCUCUACCAAUGAAUGUGAGCUAUGUUGCGAGUACAAUCCAUCUCGGUGUGCGAGUUGUGCAUCACUAGGGGCCAUCGCGUUAGCGAGAUGAAACUUCACGAGUUGUUUCUCCCUUGAUCUACUCUACACUUGGUCUUCUUCAUUUCCUAAUUCACACGACGUCUCCAACAAAUAAAAUCACACAAACAAUGCGAUGAUGAUAUGGUAACCGAGAAACAUGUAGCACAUAUGCAACACAUGGUCCUAAUUUGCAUCGUAACAUGUAUCACUCGAUCACAUGUCACUACAGCGAUCUUGGCAUCAUGGCGACUUCAUGGAUUACAUGGCAACGAUUAUGUCCCUCGCUCUUGUAAGUUGCCGCAUUGCAGCGAUGGAUUCCCAUGAAUGCAUUAAGAUUUGGAAACAUGAAGGAGAUUGGAAGUUUUGAAAAAUGACAACUAAAUGGGGCAAGCAAGGUCAGAUGCGACCACCACUUCCUCUAUGUUGUUUACUGUUUGAACUUUUCCAUCGCGGGUCUUCUCCACCUCCACAUUUACAAUGUUUCAAGGCCACACUCUUAUCGCCUUCGCCUACUAUCCUCCCCCUCCAUAUAAGGGUGGUCCUAGGGGUGUGGCUAGGAGGACCAUAUUGUCUAUCCAACCCAAGGCCUAGGGGGCAAACUUUUUCUCAACAUGAAGGGUACUUCACAUUAUAGUGUAUGUGUUCUUUUCAUCGUACUAUGUGCACUUCACAUAUUAGUCAUGCUAGUCUGUGUACUUCCCAUGUGCUUGUGAGUGUAUCUCGCCCAUGGAAGUGUUUUUUCUAUGGGUAUUUUUCAUGUGUUGUGUGUGUACUUUUUGUGUUUGUGUCUAUAGCAUUAGUGUGUGUAGUUAUUUCCAGUUUAUAGUGUAUACUCCCAAAUCAUUGCAUGUAAUUCCCAAACCGGUGUGUACACUUACCAAGUCAAUGCAUAUGUACUUCCCAUCUUUUGUGAUGUACUCUCAUAUUCAUUAAUGUGGGGUUCCAUAAUACAAGCUGCAGGUGUGUGCCACGUCGAAUGUGGUUCAACCUAGGGCCCACUUUUCAAAAAAAUACCAAAUUUGAUGUGCCAAAGACCCGUGAAACAUAACCGAUAAUGUGCACAUGGGAAUGUAGCUUGACAUACAAAUUGGUGAAAAAACUUUUAAAGUUUGGGAGUGUACUCUAAAGAAAUGAUGCAAUUUUGAAAUUUUAUUUUUAAAAUGAUUGGAGCAUGCCCUAGGAUUCACCAAUUUGCACCCAUAGGCAAAACCCUGGAGAUAACACCCACAAGACGCUUGAGCUCCCCAUGCUAUCACACUCCAUAGGGGUUCCUCACUUAGUUGAUUCCUCAAUCACCAUUUGGCACACAUACUAAAAAUGCGGGAAUAAGAAAAAUACAACGAUUGAGAUAUCACACAUGAACUGAAACCAAAGGAGAACUCCAAAAUUGCCAUUUGGAUGAAAAAAGCAUAGAAAUCCUACAAACUUCUAUAGAAUAGCCCGUCUCAAAGGAAUUUCAAAAUAAUGCAUGAUAAUAAUUCAACUCUUUUGUUCGAAACGGGGACUUAUUCCCAACGACAUACGUUUUGGCCUGGAAUAUCACCUACCAUGACUCAAUCCAUACUCUGCAAUAGUCAACAUACUCUCUCCAUUCCAAAAUAUUUGAAGUUUUGUAUGCCCUAAGGCAAACUUCUUUAAAUUUGACCAAGGUAAAAAAACAUACCAACAUCUACAAUACAAAUUAAUUUCAUUAGAUUCAUAUAAUAAAGUAUUUUUUUCAUUAUAUAUAUAUAUUAUGAUGUGGAUAUUAGCAACUUUUUCUAUAAAAUUGGUCAAACUUUAAAAGGUUUGAGUAGGACAUACCUAAAACUUCUAAUAUUUUUAGGACGAAGUAGACCGUAUCUCUGGACCACCACCACCUCGGUUUGACACUGAGCCCCGCAUCCGAUUCUAGCCUCUUCACCUGUUAUCGUUACCUUGGAACAUCGUCGGAAGAUGAGUUUUUUUAUGGGCAGCCAUUCAACACACUUUAUUUGUUAAUCACAAAGGUUACAUCAUUCAUAAGAAGCGUUAGGAGGAAGCCAGUUCAACACACUUUAUUUGUUAGAUCUAGCUACCUCAUGUGUGACCUUAUUAGCUUUCCUUGGGCAAUGAUCAAAGACAAUUUUACCAAAAUACUUGCCCUCAUCGAGUAAUCAUGAAGUAUUGAGGAACUCGCGGAAAAUCCACUUGCAGUAGAUUGUAGCAUUACAAUGGGUAAACAAGGGUACUAUUUGAGAACCUUUAGUGGCUAAGGAUCAGAAGUUCACACUACAGUAAAGGUGAUACUCCCUCGUUCCAAAAUAUAAGGUGUGUCAGUUUUCCCAAAUGUCAACCACAUGCGUGUUUGACCAAAAAAAUUAGAAAAAAGUGUCAGUGUCUAGAAUACCAAAUUUGUAUGAUUAGAUCUAACGCGGAAAGUAUAUUCAAAUUUUAUUUAUCUAGUAUUGUAGAUGUCAUUUUAUUCUAUAGUCUUGCUCAAACAUAUAUAAGUUUACCUUGCGCGAAAACGGAUACACCUUAUAUUCUGGAACGAAGGAAGUAUUAACUAAAAGUAUAGAUCAUGUUUGUCGCAAAAGGAGAGAAAGAGGAGUGCGUCCAAAUGUCACUGAGAUGAAAUAAUGAAGAGAAAGUAAGGUGCCGGAAAAUAUAUGGCCUGCCAUAAAUAAACCUGAAGAUUGAGUUGUAACAAUAGAUUUGCGAAUAAUAAUAAUAAUAAUAAUAAUAAUAAUAAUAAUAAUAAUAAUAAUAAUAAUAAUAAUAAUAAUAAAAGCUAUGACAAUAAAUCUCUUUUUUGUGGUAAAAACUGGGCUCGGUCUUGUACUCCCAAGUUUGUCAUACGCCAAUGCCACAUUGUUCGGAAAAGUUUCUUCAGAAAAGGAAUUGUUCAAGAGAGAAGUCAUUGUCACCAAAGUCUAAGAUACAACCCCGAACUUCAAAACAGUCUACUUUACAACAUCAAACUUUCAAAACCAGACAAAAACCAACCCUGCACUGGUUUCAACACAAUUUUGACUAGUUUUGACCAUUGACCGCCUAGUCAGCAUCCUAGUCACCCCGCAAGUCACCCUCCGACUAAACCCCGAAUGUGUAUUUUCCUUCUAAUUUUUUUUUUAUCUAUUUGGCAAAACAUUUUGGAACUUUCCCAGUUUGAAUACAAGGGUAGUGCUCAUUUUUGAGAUUUUUCUUUCCAUUUGUUUUUCUGAUUUUGUUUUGGCCAAUUUUGACCAAAAAUGGUCUUAAAUGUGUAUUUUCAUUAUACUUUUUAGCUAUUUGAAAAAACUUUCUCAUGUUGAAUACGAGGGUAGUGUUCAUUUUGAGAAAAAAAAUCCCAUGCCUUUUUGAAGAAAAAGAACAUUACAUGGCCAAAUUUUCACCUAAAAUGGACUUGAAUGUGUAUUUUCCUUCUAAUUGUUUAUCUGUUUGGCAAAACGUUUUGAAACUUUCCUACAUUGAAUCACAUUGUAGUUUUGAAAAUUUUCUAGAAACUUCAAUUAAGUGGAUGGGUAUCAACGAUGCUGACUAGGUAGUCAAUGGUCAAAACCAGUCAAAACUAAACCAGUCGACUUUUGUCACGUUUUGGAACUUCAAGGUUGUGAAGUUGACAAUUUUGAAGUUCAGAAUUGUGUCUUAAGACUUUAAUGACAAAGUUCAGGGUUGUAAUAUGAACUUCUCCCAUUGUUCAGCCAUGAUUUAAGAAUAUCAUAACUUGAGAAAAGUUUCAUCAGUAUUUCAUUUGGAUCAACGACCAAUAAAAUAUGGUCAAAUAUCACAUUCCUCUCACUGGGACAAGGUUUACCUCAAUCUAAGGUUCAAAAUUGACAGCAGGAUACAUCAUAAGACAUCGGCGGUUAACAAGACAACGCAACGCCCAACAACCCCAGCCCUAUCUGUACAUAUACGUGGUGACAAUCUAUAGUCCUGCACCCAAGACGAGAUGUAUGUGCUCAA
rnacentral:lncRNA from 1 species